AGUAAUCACGUCAUUUUUUUAUUUUUAAUAAAAAAUGGUAUUUAAUUAAGUUUAAUUUUGAAAAGAUGUAAUUUUUAUGAAGUUUAUUAUUGUUGCUUUUUGGCCUUCUUAUUAUAUAUAUAUUCUAAAUUAGUAUAAAGAUAAAUAUUUAAAAUUUUUCAUUUGCAUUGUCUCAUCUUACUUGGUUGUUUGAAUUAAAAAUUUAUAUUAUUUCUUUAACAUAUUUAUAGAAGAUUUUAUUUUAUGCCAUUUUUACUUUUUUACUUUGUUUUUGAAAUAUAUCAAGAAGAAUAGUUUAAAAUAUUUAAAAGGAUCUAAAGAAAUCUUAAUUCCAUAUUUUUAAGUUAAAAAUUUAAAUAUUUAAAUAAUUAUUAUAUAAAAUUUAAAUAAUAUUUAUAAUUAUAAUAAAUUUAAUAAAAUGAUUAAAAAUAUCCUUAAUCUUCUAAAGAAGAAGACUUUGUAAAAAAGAUUUGUAGAUAAAAAUAAUUGCGAACUUAUUAUCUUAAUAUCUUUAUAGAAUAUUUUUAGAAAAAAAUAAGAAAGCAAUAAAAUAAUAAAAAUCUAUGACAAAACUUUAUUGCUAAAUGGUGCACCUAUUAAAAUAAUUUCUAACAAGAAAGAUUCUUUGGUUUCAUUUUGAAAAUAUCAUCUAAUUUAUCUAUUACUACUUAUCUUUAUUUAUUUCAUUAUAAAAAUAAAUAGCUAAAAAACCAUUUGGUAGCUUAUAUACUUUAAAAGUAAUUUUAUUUUUUAUCACCUUUUUGAAUUUACAAAUCUUUACUAUCUUAUUUAUUAUCUAAAAAAUUCUUUUAUUCCAAUUAAAAUAAUUUUAUUAAAAUAUCAACAUAUAUUGUAGCAAAAUAUAUCUUAAAUAAUAUAUUAUAAUAUAAAUAUUAUGUAAUAUUGAGUGUUUUUUUUGUUCUACCUAUUUAUUUUUUAAAUUUCAUUUUUCCAUAUAAAUAUUUAUUUUUACAAAAUUUGUCAUUACUUGGUCUUUUACACUUUUUUUAAUAUAUUUUUUAAAUGUCUUAUAUUGAUAGAUUUUUUGAAAGUUAUUCGAUGUCUAAAUUUUAUUAUAAUUUUUUAUAUGUCUUAAAUAUAAUAAAUUGAAUCAAUUCAUGUAAAACUAAUUUAUCAUAAUCUAAUGCUAUUAUCUUCUUAUUAUGCAUAUAAGAGUUUUUAGACAAAGUUGAUUUGAAUUCAAAAAAAUGCAAUUGAAUGUUUUGAGCAAACUAUGAAAAUGUGAAAUAGUAUUAUUUAGAUUACUUCCAAGAUUCAAAUCUAAUAAUUGUCAUCAAAUGAUAGAAUCUAAGCAACCUAUAUCAUUAUUCUAUUGUCUUUAUUUUAAAAUACUUAUUUUAAAACCAAUAUAAGAAGUCAACAUUAUCUAGCCUACUUACCUAAGGUAAUUCUUCUCUAAUAAUAUCAUAAUUAUAUUUAAUUUUAAAAUGAUUUUUAUUAGAUAUUAUGUAAUACAAAUAUUAUGUUAAAGUUUUAAAAUUAUUAAAAAUAUGGUGUUAAUAUUAAAAUAUUGAAUAAAAAACAUUAGAAUAAAAAAAAAAAUAUUAAAGAUUUUAUAAUUAAAAAAAAUUAUAUAUAGAAAUCAUUAUAAGUAGAUUCUUUGAAAAAACUUGGAUUCAAUUUUUAAAAAAUUCUAUUUAAGUUAGUAUUAAACCCAAAUGAAUCAAAUACUAUUAAUUAAAAUAUAUUUAAAGAUAUACAGUUUUUGUACAUAGAAUUAAAAUAAAUAAAAACUGAUUGUAGAAUCCUAUAAGGAAAUUUAAUAUAUAAAAACAAACAGAAAAAAAAUUUAAUUUUAAAAUAUGACAUAGUAUUGAAUCUUAAGUAUAUAGUUUUUUUAAAAUUUAUUGAUUUAGAAAAAUGCUAAGAAAUUCUUCUACUUCUUUUUUUUAUAUCUUCUAUACUAUUAUGUAAACAUCUCUACCAAAAACUUUAUGUUACUAAGACAAAAAGACAUAUAUUUUAUUUUAUCAAAGAUUGGCAUAAGUUAUGAGUUUUUUUUUUGCAAUGAUAAUUUAUUUUAUAAAAAAUAAAUUAAGAAAAGUUCUAAAAAAUUAAGUAUUGAAAGAUCGUUAUAAAAGCCACAUUCUAAUUUUGUUAAAGCUACAUCCCCUUUCAACCACAUCAUUCAUUGUGUACUAAUUUCAUGUUUUCAACCCCGUUUUCCAUCUGCUAUUGUCAAUUCCCAUCUUUUGUUCUUAGCUACCUUCUCCUCUCCCAUCUCAAGUAUGGAUUUUGCCAAUUUAUUCCAAUUUUAAUAUAAUUUAAAAGUUUAAUUGGUGAAAUUAAGUUCUUUGUAAAGUUUUUCUUUUUUUCUUUUUUUCAUCUAAUAAGAUAACAUGUUGUAAAUAAUAUUAUUUUUUAAAAAUAUUAUUAAUAAUGUAAUGAAUAUGGAUAAACUAUUGUAUUAUAUUUGAUUUUAUGAAGAUUAAAGCCUCUAGACUAUCAAAUAUUAUUUGGACAAUUAUAUAUAUUGUAAAUUUUAGCUUUCUUUAGUUACCAUAGAUCUAUAUUUUUUAUUAUCUAUAUAAAAUAAUAAAAAAAUAAUUCAAUUUAUUUACAUAAAAAAUAUCUUAUUUGAGAUAUCAAGAAUUUUUGAUAUUAUAAUUGAUAUCUAUUAUUCAUAAAAGAAAAAAUAUAAAAACAAACAAAUAAACAAACAAAUUUUUAAGCAAAUUAUUUUCAAAACCAUCUUUGAUUUCAUCUAAUAUUCAUACUAAUAAAAUUAAAUAAACCUUAUUUCAAUGUAAUAAUACGUAAAAAAUUGUACAAAUUCAAAUUCAGAUUAUUUAAAUUAUAAACCACAACUUUAAGAAUUGAUUUUUGUAUAGCAAAUAAAAAAAAUCUACAACUUUAUGUUUUAAUAAAUUAGAUAAUUAAAAAGAAUCAAUUUUUAUAAUAGGAAUAUAAAUCUUAAAGGAUAUAAAAUUUAUUAGUUUAUUAACAUUUUACUUUUAUUCUAUAAAUUAUUUGAUUUACUAAAUAAAAAUUAUAAUUAAUUUCAAAAUGGUUCUUUUAUAUUUUAAUUUAUAUAUCUACCUAUAUGUAUGUAUGUAUGUAUGUAUGUAUGUAUAUAUAUUGAUACAUAUAUCAAAUUUAUAUUUUAAUAAAUAUUAUAAAUUAAAAUAUCAAUAAAUAAUUUUAUAAUACCAUACAUAUUUCUUAUAUAAAAUUUGUUAUAGUUAUUUCAAAAAAAUAUUCAAUAUUUAAUUAUUUAUUUAUUAUAUCAAAAAAAUUUGUAACACAUAAAAAUCAUGAAUUUUUUACAAUAAAAUUUAUUUUUAUUCUCAUGAAUAAAUAUAAAUUAAAAUUUUAAUAUAUUAUAAUACUAUUUUACAUGUAUAUAUGUACAAUCAUAUUAAAAAAUAUUUUAAGGUUUUUUCAAAUUGAUAUUCUUUAGUUUGAAGUUUAUUCUACUUAGUUCACAAAUCUUGCUUUAUUCUAAUUAGUUUAACUUGUAGGCACAUUUAUUGUGACAAAGAUAGAAUGAGGUUGAAACUAAAGGUAGAGAUGAAGACUAUGAAAGGAACAUGAAAACAAGUGAUGAAGAAUAGAGAUGGAGACAAAAGAUGGAAAUCGAAGAUGGAAAUGAGAUACAAGGAAUAUGAAUUGAAAAUGGAAAUAAGGGAUGAUGGAUGAAAAUAAAAGAUAAUAAUAAGGAAUGUAGGAUGAAAAUGAAAGAUAGAAUCAAAGAAUGAGGGAUUGUCAUAAAUAUAUGUAUUUAUUUGAAUAAUUAUUAUAAUUAGUAGAAGUAGGUAAAAUUAGGUUAAUUUCAAAAUAUCUUCUAAAAAAAGCUAUCAAAGAUAUGAACUAUAAGAAGAUACAUAAACUUGAAAAACUUAUAUUAAAAAAAAGUGACAAAAUAAAAAUAAAGAAGUAUGUAUAUUAAAAGAAAAUUAGAGUGGCUAUUGCCAAAAAUAAGGAAAUUAGAGAUUCUUAAAUCUAGACUAGAAGCAAGAAAGGAAUUGAUAAGACUAAAGAUGGCUGCACUCUUGCCUCUAUAUAUACUAACUAGGAGCUAUGUGACAAUGUUUUAUAAGACUUCUAAUAUAUGUUGACUUUGUAGGACACAUGCCUUAGCUUACAAGGCAAUUUUUCUAUGUGUAAGCUACAUAAUUAGCUUAUUCUUCAAGCUAUCAACAUGUGUGGCACAUGGCCAACUUGUUGACAACAUUUCUAACCUAAAAAAUUAAUUAAAGACACCUAUAAAGUCAAAGCAAUGUCUAUGAAGCUUUCAAGAAACUUUUAUAGAAGAUAUUAUGGAAUUGACAUAUUUUUACCUACUAUUAUCUAAAUCAUAUAAGUAAUUAUUGGUUUACAUGUGUAUGUUUGUGACAAUACUUCCCUUUCUAGGGACGAGUUCUACAAAGAGCGGUCUUCAUAUGUUGAGGAAAUUAAACAGGCGACAAAUUUUAUUUGCCACGUAUUCCAAUCUUUGUUUUUUUCAAAGUUACUUAAUAAGCUUUCAUAGCUAUCGAUAGUGUCUCAUACUAGGAUGGAAAAACCAUCCUGUUAUUUGGUCAUUAUUGAGGCCUUCAUAACUUCUUUCAAAUAAAACAUUUGGAACACUGUUAAGAAUUGUUCCUACUUCUAAUAAAAUGUUAGGGACAUAUUCCUUAGAACUAUCUAGAGAGAAGUUUCUAGAACCUUCUAGAAAACAAGCCUCAGGAAUCUUCUAGAAGAGAAGCCUCUGAAACCUUUUAGAGAGAAGUUUUUAGAAGCUUCUAGAAAGGAAGUCUCUGGAACCUUCUAGAAGAGAAGUUUCUAGAAGCUUCUAGAAAGGAAUCCCCUGGAACUUUCUAGAAGCUUCCUAGUUAAUAGAAGUAGCUCGAGAAGUUUCUAGAACCUUCUAGAAAGGAAGCCUCUGGAACCUUCUAGAAGCUUCCUAGUUAAUAGAAGUAGCUCGAGAAGCUUCCUAAGUAGGAGUAUAUAUAGGGAUCGAGGCUGAAGAGUUCUUCAGUCUCGACAACACAUCUCUUGGAGUUCUAGCUCACUUUUCUGGUGUUGUUCUUGUACUCAUCUGUUUAAUCUAGUUCUGCCACUUCUUCUUGAACUUUUUGUUAGAUUUCAAGUCUGUAUUUUGUGUCCGUGACAAUUUGUCGAGACUACACUAACUUGAGAUAUCAGAGCUAGUUCUUUCUUAGUAGAGUGUGGAUUACCCGUCUACUUGAAGGUAUACUAGUAUUUUUUAGAGGUUGCGGAUUACCCUCCUCUAAACUAAUACUUCUUCUAUUACAAUAUCGGAGUCUUAUUCUUCUUGGAGAGAGUAGAUUACCCCUCUUCUUGAAAUUCUUAAGGCAUUUUAUAGGUUGUGGAUUACCCUCCUAUAAACCAAUAUUGCCUCUUAUAGGAUCAUUUUUGUCCUUCUUUUAGAAUGGCCGGAGGUCAAGACAUUAGUAUGACAGAAAGUUCGGAGUCUAAGUUAGAUGCUAUUAUGAAUGCCCUCGCUACGUUAUCACAAAGAACUGCAGAGAUUGAAGGAGUGGUGGCAAGGCUUCAUAAUGAUGGAGUAUCUGGGAUAGCACAAUCUAAAUUACACCAGCCUCAAAUUUCGGCACUUGGAGAAACAACUUUACCUCAGGUUCGACAAGAACCACUAGUUCUACAACAUAAGGAGUCUCGAGUUAGCCUUCCAGAUAAGUUUGAUGGAACACGUUCUAAGUUUCGAGGAUUCGUCAAUCAAAUCAGGUUGAUAACAGUUUUACAGCCCGAACGAUAUCCAACGGAGGAGUCACGUGUUGGGCUUGUUGGAACCUUACUUACGGGACAAGCUCUAUCAUGGUUUGCUCCUUUGUUUGAGAAACGAUCAUCCAUAUUAAACAACUUCGAAACCUUUUUGGAAGCAUUUGCGGAAGCAUUUGGUGAACACGAUAAGAUUCGAUGGGCUACAACAAAGAUCCGGUCGCUACGACAAGGGAUGCGUUCUACAUCAAUCUAUGCUUCGGAUUUCAGGCAAUUAGUAUGCGACAUCAAUUGGGAUGAAGAAGCGUUGAUGAGUCAAUUCUAUUGGGGUUUAAGAGAUGAUGUGAAGAAUUUGCUGUUAACUCUUCAUGAUCCACGAAUGCUCAAUGAAGCCAUUAGCCAAGUUGUGAAGUGCGAUAAUCACCUAUUCCAACGUCGCCAAGAUCAAUGCUCAAGACAACAUACAAUUCGCCAUACUCCAACUAUGUCAGCAAGCGGUAUGAAUUCGCAUUCAGAGGUGGAAGACAUGCAUAUUGAUGUGGUAUGUAUCAAAUCUCUUACUAUAGAAGUAAAAAAGCGACGUAUGGAGGAAAAUUUAUGCUUCUAUUGCGGUGGAGAAGGCCACAAAGUCGGAAACUGCCCCAAAAAGCAAAAUCGAGGCAUAGUCAAGACUAGGAGAGUAUUUGUUCAGGAAAACGAGGAUGCCCAGCCACAGUAGGAACCAUGCGGCUGGACAAUGAAAUAUCCCAACAACAAUCAGGUUCCUUUCUUUUUGUCUAACCUGCACUUUGUUUUACAAUCCCUUUGUUUAUCGGCCCUCAAAAACUAAGAACCUUAGCACUACUAGAUUCAGGAGCAUCUGCUUGUUUUUUAGACGAAGAAUUUACAAAGCGUCAUAAGAUCCCUUUAGUACAAAAAUCAAAACCUGUUCAUGUUGAGGUCAUAGAUGGGCAACCUUUAUUGUCUGGUAGCAUCACCCAUGAAUCAAAACUUAUAGAAGUAACGUUUAAAGACCAUAGUAGUCAUAUUAUUUUUAAUAUUAUUAGAACCCCAUCAAAUCCUAUUAUUCUUGGUCUUUCUUGGUUGGAAAAAUAUAAUCCAUUGAUAGAUUGGAGGUUGCGGAAGAUGACUUUUCCCACAAAAUCAUCCAAGAAAAAACCUAGUAAAAAACCUCGAAAAAAGAAAUCCUUAUUCAUUUGAGCAAGAGCGUUUAUAAGAUCAUCUAAGGAAGGCACUCCAUUUGUCAUUUAUGCGGCUCCAACUACCGAGGAGAAGAUCUCAACAGCAAGUAUACCGGAGCAAUAUAAGGAUUUUGAAGACGUGUUUCAAAAGAAGAACGCCGACAUACUACCAGAACACGGACCAUAUGAUUGUGCCAUAGACUUGCAAGAAGGAGCACAACCACCUUUUGGUCCAAUCUACAAUCUAUCGCAAACAAAGUUGGCAGAGUUACGAAAGUACAUCGACGAGAAUCUAGCCAAAAACUUCAUUCGUCAUUCAAAAUCAUCAGCUAGAGCACCCAUCUUAUUUGUGAAGAAGAAAGAUGGAUCAUUACGGAUGUGUGUGGACUAUCGAGGCCUCAACAAGGUAACAAAGAAAAAUCGUUACCCAUUACCCUUGAUUUCUAGUCUCUUAGAAAAACUUGGACGUGCGAAGAUCUUUACAAAAAUUGAUCUAAGGAGAGCUUAUAAUCUCAUACGAAUCAAGGAAGGAGAUGAGUGGAAGGCAGCAUUCCGUACAAGGUAUGGUCAUUUCGAAUAUAAUGUCAUGCCUUUUGGUCUUACCAAUGCUCUAGCGGUUUUCCAACAUAUGAUGAAUGACAUCUUUCGAGAACACCUCGACGAUUUUGUUGUCAUCUAUUUGGACAAUAUUCUAAUAUUCUCUAAAAACGAGGAAGAGCAUGAGGAGCAUGUUCGUUUGAUCUUGGAAAAACUACGCAAGCGAGGACUAUAUGCCAAAUUAGAAAAAUAUUUAUUUCACCAAACGGAGAUGGAAUUUUUAGGGUUCAUUGCGACUACAGAAGGUUUGAAGAUGGACCCCAAAAAAGUAGAAGCAAUCAUGUCUUGGGAGGUUCCAAAGAUGGUUAGAGACGUACAAUGCUUUCUUAGUUUUGCUAACUUCUAUCAGAUCUUCAUCAAGAAUUAUACUCAAGUUGCUGCUCCUCUCACUCGAUUAACAUGCAAGGAUAAGUUGGAAUGGGGACCUUUGGCGGAGAAGGCGUUUCAAGAUUUGAAGACUGCAUUUACUACAGCUCCAAUUUUGAUACAUCCAGACUUUACAAAGGCCUUUUAUUUAGAGAAUGAUGCUUCAGAUUUUACUUUGGGAGCUGUGCUUUCAUAAAUGAGUGAAGACAAGAAGCUCCAUCCAGUUGCAUUCUAUUCUCGAAAGUUCUCUGCUACUGAAAUCAAUUAUGAGAUCCACGAUAAGGAACUUCUUGCUAUAGUGGAUUCUUUCGAAGAAUGGCGUCACUUUCUUGAAGGAGCUGCACAUCCAGUAACCGUAUAUACAGAUCACAAGAAUUUGGAGUAUUUCAUGAUGGCUCGAGUUUUAAAUCGGCGUCAAGCUCGGUGGAAUAUGUCGCUAUCUAGAUUCGAUUUUGUUAUCACUUAUCGACCUGGAAGGCAGCAAGGACUAUCUGAUGCUUUAUCAAGGAGAUCGUAUCUUGCACCAAAGGUUGGAGAAGCAGCGUUUGAUCUACAAUGUACAACGUUAUUGAAGCCAGAGAGAUUUCAACUUUGUGCUACUAUUGUAUCAUUUGAUGCUGACUUCCUAAACCAGGUACGUGCUAUGACCAUUAAAGAUUCAGUAGCCAUUGAUAUCAAGCAACGUACCAAUGACGAUAAGUUCAAGGUGGAGGGAGAUCUUUUAUACUUUGAAGAGCGAUUGUACAUUCCAAAAGGACCAGCACGACUCCGAGUUCUUCAAUCUCGCCAUGAUUUUCCAACUGCGGGACAUUUUGGAUUCAACAAGACCUUGGAGCUUAUUUCCCGAGAUUUUUGGUGGCCCCAAAUGUGGAAGGAUGUGAAAGAUUUUGUCCUCUCUUGUGACAUCUGUUUAAGAUCUAAGAAUCCUCGGCAUCGCCUUUAUGGACUUCUACAGCCAUUGCCAAUUCCACGUCGACCAUGGUCUUCAAUUUCUAUGGACUUCAUCACUGACUUGCUGUCACGGCCAUAAUCAUGUAAGUUAAUAAUUACAUAUAGAAAUAGGUAGAAGUAAGUAAAAGUAGAUAAAAGUAAGUUAAUUGUAUAAUAUUUAAUAUAGAAGCUUCCUAGAAACUUCCUAGACGCUGCUUUGACUUCAUAGGUGUCUUUAAUUGACUUUUUGGAUUAGAAACGUGGUCAAUAAGUUGGCCAUGUGCCACACAUGUUAUUAGCUUGAAGAUCAAGCUAACUAUGUGGCCCACACGUAGAAAAACUUGCCUUGUAAGUCAAGGCAUGUGUCCUACAAAGUCAACACAUAUUGGAGGUCCUAUAGAACGUCGCCACGUAGCCCCUAGUUAGAUAGUAUAUAUAGAGACAAGAGUGAAGGCUUCUUCACUCUUGUCAACUCCUUUCUUGCUUCUAGUCCAGGUUCAAGAGUCUUUAGUUUCUUGUCUUGUGGCAAUAGCCAUUUCAGUUUCCUUUUAAUAUACCUACUUGUUUAUAUUUUGACUUAUUAUAUCGAGAUAGCCUUUUGGUGUAUAUUUUUCCUCAUCGAGUCUUUGUCCUUGACAGAUUGACAAGAGUACACUUACAAUAUCAGAGCUUUAUUUUUUCUUGAGUAAGAGUGGAUUACCCCUUUCUCUUGAUAAGACAUAAGCGUAUUAGAAGUUUGCGGAUUAUCCACUUGUAAACUGAUAUUGUUCUUAGUAUCUUCUUUGUUAUCAAGUCUUUCUUUUCUUUUGUCUUGAGCAAUAUCAAACAAAUUUUUCUUCUUAGUGUCAUUAUGGCAGAGCUUGUUGAAAUGAAGAGUGCAAUGGCACAAAUGCAAGAGCAAAUAAGGGUGUUAAUGCUUGCGAUGCAUCAACUCAAUUCACCAACACAGGAAAGAACAAGAAUAGCAGAAAGUGGAGAUAUAGAGAUGAUCGGAGCUGCUUCAACAUCUACAACAAAUCACGUUCCUUCUCCAAUUGUACAACAUCCUAUAAGCACUAGAGAACCAAGAAUUGCCUUACCUGAGAAAUUUGAUGGUACGAGCUCAAAGUUUCGAGGGUUCAUCAAUCAAGUACAAUUGGCAAUUGAACUUCAACCGCAAAGCUAUCCAACUCCAGGAUCACAAGUCAGGUUUAUUGGCACUCUACUUUCUGGUUCUGCAUUAUCGUGGUUUUCGUCUUUUCUUGAACAACGAAAUCCAAUAUUGGACAAUUUGGAAGCUUUUUUGGCGGAGUUUCGAUCUAUGUAUGGUGAACACGAUGCAACUCGUAUUGCAACAAAUAAGAUCCGAAUUCUGCGACAAAGAAAUCGCUCAGUAACAGUAUAUGCUUCACAAUUUCGACAACUUGCAAUUGACAUCAAGUGGGAUGAUGCUGCACUCAUCAGUCAAUUUCUUUAUGGAUUGCAAUACGAAGUAAAGAAAUUGAUGCUCAACUUACCUGAUCCUCAAACUUUGAGUCAAGCAAUCGAUUUUGCGGUAAAAUGUGAUAAUCGACUUUUUGAAUUUCGAUCUGAGAAUCAUUCACGGGAACCUCAACGUUAUUACUCAAUGGCAACAUCAACAUCUUUGCCAAACGUACAUUCAGAAGUAGAAGACAUGCAAAUUGACGCGGUACGUUUUAAACCUCUAACUGAGCAAGAAAAGAUUCGUCGUCGUCAAGAAGGAUUAUGUUUAUAUUGCGGAGAACCUAAGCACACUGCUCAACAUUGUCCAAAGAAACGACGCAACUAUAAAAUGAGGGGUACGACGGUCAAAGAAGACAACAUGUCGGAAAACGGAUCCGUCCAGCUACAAUAGGGACCGUGCAGCUGGAACCUUGUACAAUUCCUAAUGAAGGUCCUAUCCUCUCCUCAGAACCCUCUCCUUGUUUUAUAAUAGACUUAUAUUUAGGACCUAAGAAUUACAAAGCCUCUGCUUUAUUAGAUUCGGGAGCCUCAGCAUGUUUUUUAGAUGAACAGUUUGUUAAAAGUCGUAAAAUACCCUAUGUACAGAAACCUAAACUAGUACAUGUAGAAGUCAUAGAUGGUCGUCCCUUGUCUUCUGGAGAUGUCACUCAUGAAACUCAUCCUAUAAAAGUAACAAUAGACGGUCAUGAUAGCUACAUAGCUUUUAACAUAAUUAAAUCCCAGUCCAAUCCAGUUAUUUUAGGUUUAUCCUGGCUAGAAAAAUAUAACCCUCGAAUAGAUUGGAAUUCGCGUAAACUUGACUUUUCCAAAAGUGUUAUUAAUAGUUCUACAAACCAAGUAAAAAAUUAUAAGUCUAGUACAGUAAAACCCGUACUGAUAGGUGCAAAAGCAUUUAUACACGCAGCAAAAGAAGGAUCAACUUUUGCUAUUUAUGCUGCACCUAUUUCUGAAAACGUAAAGACUUCAAGUGGCAUUCCAAGUCAAUAUCAGGAGUAUCAAGACGUUUUUGAGAAAAAGAAUGCAGAUAUUCUUCCUAAGCAUCGUCCAUAUGAUUGUUCAAUCGACCUCAAGGAAGGAACUCAACCACCAUUUGGACCAAUUUACAGUUUAUCGCAAGAUGAGAUGGCUGAACUCAAGACAUAUAUUGACGAGAAUUUAGCGAAGAAUUUCAUACGCCAUUCAAAAUCUCCAGCAGGAGCUCCAAUUCUAUUUGUAAAGAAAAAAGAUGGAUCUUUACGAAUGUGUGUUGAUUAUCGAGGACUCAACAAGAUCACAAUCAAGAACAGGUAUCCAUUACCUUUGAUAUCAGGACUCCUUGACCAGUUGAAUCAAGCUAAGAUCUAUACAAAAAUAGAUCUAAGAGGAGCAUAUAAUCUAGUACGGAUCAAAGAAGGAGAUGAAUGGAAGACUGCGUUUCGAACCAGGUAUGGACAUUUCGAAUAUAAUGUCAUGCCCUUUGGACUCACAAAUGCACCAGCUGCUUUUCAACAUCUCAUGAAUGAUGUAUUUCGUGAAUUCUUAGACAAUUUUGUCGUCUGCUAUCUAGACGAUAUCCUGAUCUAUUCCAAGAACGUCGAAGAACAUGAAAUACAUGUUCGUCAAGUAUUACAAAAACUUAGAGAUGCAAGAUUGUACGCCAAGAUGGAAAAGUGUGUAUUUCACACUACUCAAGUUGACUUUUUAGGAUACAUCAUUUCAAAUGAUGGUCUCAUGAUGGAUUCUAAGAAAGUCCAAACAAUCGUGGAUUGGAAGAUUCCAAGGACAGUAAGAGAUGUUCAAUGUUUCUUGGGAUUUGCCAAUUACUAUCGGAUCUUCAUCAAAGAUUUCUCACGAGUUGCAGCUCCACUUACACGCUUGACUAGUAAAGAUAAAUUUCAAUGGAAUCAAGAAGCGGAAGCAGCAUUUGAAGCCUUGAAGACAUCGUUUGUCUCUGCACCAGUCUUAUAUCGUGUUGACUUUUCCAAGGCAUUUUUUAUGGAAACAGAUGCAUCAGAUUUUGCCUUGGGUGCAGUUUUAUCACAAAUGGGAACAGAUGACAAACUCCAUCCGAUAGCUUUUCAUUCAAGAAAAUUCUCAGCAGCCGAGAUCAAUUAUGAGAUCCACGAUAAAGAACUUCUUGCGAUCGUGGAUUCCUUUCAAGAAUGGCGUCAUUAUCUAGAAGGCGCUUCUAGUCCAGUCACUGUGUAUACAGAUCACAAGAACCUCGAGUAUUUCAUGUCAGCACGCGUGUUGAAUCGUCGUCAAGCUCGUUGGAGUAUGUCUUUGUCAAGAUUCGAGUUCAUUAUCACUUAUCGGCCAGGAAAACAACAAGGUUUAUCCAAUGCCCUAUCUAGACGUUCUUAUUUUGCACCAAAAGAAGGAGAUGCAGCUUUUGAGCAACAAAGAACGGUCCUCUUGAAACCGGAGCAAUUUCAUCUCCGAGCAAUGAAAUCAACAUUGACUGUUGAUUCAACUUUUCUGAAGCAAAUCCAGUCGAGUAUGUCCUCAGACCCUCUUGUUUAUGAUAUCGAGAAUAAUUCUUCCAAGUCUCAUGAUCCUUCUAAGUUUGAGUUCAAGAAUAAUCUAUUAUAUUUUGAAGGACGCCUAUAUGUUCCAGAAGGAGAAGCACGUUUACGUGUUCUUCAAGCACGUCAUGACUUUCCAGCAGCAGGGCACUUUGGAUAUAAUAAGACUUUGGAACUCAUAUCAAGAGAUUUUUGGUGGCCACAAAUGUGGAAGUCAGUCAAAGACUUUGUACAAUCAUGUGAUAUUUGUUCAAGAUCAAAAAUUCCUCGUCAUCGACCUUACGGACUUCUUCAGCCAUUACCUAUACCAGAACAACCAUGGUCUUCUGUUUCUAUGGAUUUCAUCACAGAUCUUCUAAGCUCAAGAUCUUAUGAUUCUAUAUUUGUGAUAGUAGAUCGUUUCACCAAGAUGGCACAUUUUGUGCCAUGUACAAAAUCUAUCACAGGUGAAGAAACAGCUAAGCAUUUCAUUGAUAAUAUCUAUCGCUAUCAUGGAUUACCUAAAGAUAUCAUAUCGGAUAGAGGAACUCAAUUUGUGUCAAGAUUUUGGAGGACCCUUUUCAAGAUUUUAAAAGUGGACAUAAAACUAUCUUCGGCUUUUCAUCCUCAAACUGAUGGACAAACAGAGCGCGUAAACCAAGUCUUGGAGCAAUAUUUAAGGUGUACUAUCAACUACCAACAAGAUGAUUGGACAACCCUUCUGCCAUUGGCAGAGUUUGCUUAUAAUAAUACGGUACAUUCUUCCAUUUAACAAACACCUUUCUUUGCCAAUUAUGGCUAUCAUCCACGACUUGAUACUUUUGAUUUUUCAAAAGUUGAUAAUCCUGCAGCAUAAGAUAUGGCAAAUCGGUUGUCAGAGUUACAUGCAAUAAUGAAGACACAAUUGAAGGAAGCUCAAGAACGACAAAAGAUAAACGCAGAUCUAUAUCGUAAGGAGCAACCACAGAUCAACGUCGGUGAUAAGAUGGAGAGCCAACAACCAGCAGAUUCAACUCAAGAACCUUCGUUUGCUGACCUGUCGGAUGAGACAUUACGAUUGUCACAACCUUCAAGACGACUCAAUCGAGAUGAAGAUCUUCAAGAACGACAUGUUCUUCCUCGAACAGAUGGUGAGAUACAACGCGUUUGGUAUCACGAUUUGGGAAGGGACUCCCGAUGUUUGGUGAUUUUGCUAGAGGUAGGAACAACUCCUGAUGGUGUUCCGAAUAUUCUAUUCGAAGGAAGUUGUGAAGGCCUCAAUAAUGAUCAAAUAACUGGGUGGUCUUCCCGCCCUGGUAUGGGACACUACCGAUGGUUGAGAGGCCCUAUCAAUCAUCUUCGAAGAGAACAGAGAUCAGAGUAUGUGGCGAAUACAAUUCGUCGCAUCAUAGAUUUCCUCAACAUAUGAUGACCGCUCCUCGUGGAACUCGUCUCUAGAAGGGGAGGUAAUGUCACGGCCAUAAUCAUGUAAGUUAAUAAUUACAUAUAGAAAUAGGUAGAAAUAAGUAAAAGUAGAUAAAAGUAAGUUAAUUGUAUAAUAUUUAAUAUAGAAGCUUCCUAGAAACUUCCUAGACGCUGCUUUGACUUCAUAGGUGUCUUUAAUUGACUUUUUGGAUUAGAAACGUGGUCAAUAAGUUGGCCAUGUGCCACACAUGUUAUUAGCUUGAAGAUCAAGCUAACUAUGUGGCCCACACGUAGAAAAACUUGCCUUGUAAGUCAAGGCAUGUGUCCUACAAAGUCAACACAUAUUGGAGGUCCUAUAGAACGUCGCCACGUAGCCCCUAGUUAGAUAGUAUAUAUAGAGACAAGAGUGAAGGCUUCUUCACUCUUGUCAACUCCUUUCUUGCUUCUAGUCCAGGUUCAAGAGUCUUUAGUUUCUUGUCUUGUGGCAAUAGCCAUUUCAGUUUCCUUUUAAUAUACCUACUUGUUUAUAUUUUGACUUAUUAUAUCGAGAUAGCCUUUUGGUGUAUAUUUUUCCUCAUCGAGUCUUUGUCCUUGACACUUGCCAUCAUCAAACUCAUUUGACAGCAUCUUUGUCGUGGUAGAUCAGCUUACGAAGAUGGCACACUUUGUUCCUUGUAAGAAGACAUCGUCCAGUGAAGUCACAGAAAGACUCUUUCUCGAUAAUAUGUAUCGAUAUCAUGGACUACCAGAUGAUAUCAUAUCAGAUCGAGGUACCCAGUUCGUGUCAAAGUUUUGGAGAUCUCUCUUUGGAAUAUUGAAGGUGGAUAUCAAGCUUUCUUCAGCUUUUCAUCCUCAAACUGAUGGCCAAACGGAACGGGUGAACUAAGUCUUGGAGCAGUACUUACAAUGUACCAUCAACUAUCAGCAAGACGAUUGGACUGCAUAUCUACCGUUAGCCGAGUUUGCAUAUAACAACACCCUCCAUGCGUCGACUCAAUACACACCAUUCUUUUUCAACUAUGGGUAUCAUCCAAAGCUUGAUUUAUUGAGUCCAUCAACAAAUAACAAUCCAGCAGCUGAAGGAUUUGCGAAGCAACUAUCAGAGCUUCAAACUAUGUUGAAGCUUUAAUUACAAUCCGCUCAAGAAUCCUAUAAGACGUCUGCAGAUAGAUUUUGGAAUCGAGCACCUACUUUCAAAGUUGGAGACAAAGCCUGGCUUCUUCGACGAAAUAUCAAGACCAAGCGACCAUGUGAUAAGUUGGACUAUCCAAGAUUGGAACCAUUUAUCAUCCAGAAGCAAAUUAAUUCAGUGGCAUACCGGCUGGAGUUACCGGCUUCUAUGAAAGUACAUCCAGUCUUUCAUGUUUCUCUGUUGGAACCUUAUCGAGGGUCAUCUUUUCUUGAAAGAGUGCAAUGUCCGCCACCUAGUAUUGAAAUCGAGAACCACGAAGAAUACGAGGUUGAAAAGGUAUUGGAUUCACGGCGAAGGUGGGGAAAGUUAGAAUAUCUUAUUCAUUGGUGCGGCUAUGACAUUAAUGAACGAACGUGGGAGCCAGCUGAAAAUCUUGCGAAUGCACUACAAAAGGUACAGGAGUUUCAUCAACGACAUCCCGAUAAACCUAAAUCAAUUCGAUGAUAGCUUCUUUCUGAAGCUUGUUCUUCCAACAAUAUAAGAAAAAGAGAGAGCACGAGCAAAAUUCAUAGUUGAUGUAGUUAUUUUCUCCAAGAUAGAUCGUAGUUUGGUCUUUAGAUAUGGAUAGCCAAGAGAUAGAUAAUAUGCCAGUCAGAGUAUUGCAACCGAGUAGCUCACGAAGGCGACCCCAAGAUGAAGAACUACAUGUACCACGACGACAACGGAGGAUACCGAGUAACCGAUCACUGGUGAUUGUAUUUGAGAUCGAGCUUGCUUACGAUGUUCAACCAGAAGGCGUGUUUGCAAGAUAAUUUCACAAUGAGGACAAGGAAGUUCAUGCUUGGUCAGAAGUCGAAGGCGUAGGCCACUACCGUUAGCUUCAAGGGUCAAUGAACCACUUGCCUCGUGAACAACAGUUGGAGUUCAUAGCAGAAGUUAUGCGACAGAUCUUCAUUUUCUUGCGUUGGUACUGAUCAAUAACAUUGCUUCUCAAUAACCUCAAAGCUAAAGGAGGGGGUGAUAUUAGGGACAUAUUCCUUAGAACUUUCUAGAGAGAAGUUUCUAGAACCUUCUAGAAAACAAGCCUCUGGAACCUUCUAGAAGAGAAGCCUCUGGAAACUUUUAGAGAAAAGUUUUUAGAAGCUUCUAGAAAGGAAGUCUCUGGAACCUUAUAGAAGAGAAGUUUCUAGAAGCUUCUAGAAAGGAAUCCUCUAGAACUUUCUAGAAGCUUCCUAGUUAAUAGAAGUAGCUCGAGAAGUUUCUAGAACCUUCUAGAAAGGAAGCCUCUGGAACCUUAUAGAAGCUUCCUAAUUAAUAGAAGUAGCUCGAGAAGCUUCCUAAGUAGGAGUAUAUAUAGGGAUCGAGACUGAAGAGUUCUUCAGUCUCGACAACACAUCUCUUGGAGUUCUAGUUCACCUUUCUGGUGUUGUUCUUGUACUCAUCUGUUUAAUCUAGUUCUGCCACUUCUUCUUGAACUUCUUGUUAGAUUUCAAGUCUGUAUUUUGUUUCCGUGACAUAAAAUCACCAAACAUUGGAAGUCUCUUCCAAGGUUGUGAUACCAAACAUGUUGAAUCUUGUUAUGAAUUUGAGUAAGGACAUGUCUCUCUUGAGGAUCUUCAUUUCAAUUUUAUUGUCUUGAAGAUUAUGACAAUCGUAAUGUGUCAUCUAAUAAGUCCAUAAAAAAAAGUUCUUGAGUUGAAUUUGCUCAUUGUUGAGUUUCCAUCUUUUCAAUGUCACAAAUACACAAAAGAUACAAAAAAAGAUAGAAGAUAGAAUGCAAUCUUUUUCGGACCUUGUUUCUUUUAUAAUAAAGACUUACUAUUCUUCAUAUUGUUUUAGAUAGAUAUCAUUGAUGAAAAUCCUCUACUGCCUUUGUUGCAUUUGCAAGAUUCUUUAUUGGCACCCAUGUAUAUUUAUUAAUAUUAUAUCCAUGCUAAUGUAUAAGAUAUUUUAAUUUAUUUAGGGGCCCCCUUGAGUUUAAAACUCCUUUUACUUCAAAUUCUUCAUUAUUAUCCACUUUUAUAAGAGGAGGUGGAGCUUGUCUUUUUUUUGUUAUAUUCAUAGUCUUGUAUGGUUCAAAAAGAGAUACGUGGAAGACAUCAUGGUCCUUCAUUGCCUCCGAUAAAUAUAACCAAUUAGCAAUUAGAUUGAUUUAUCUAUAAAUAGAAAAAGGUUCAAACUUGUGGUAGUCCAACUUUUCAGAAGGACAAAUAAACUUGAUAUUACAAUGAAGCAACCACACCAUGUCACCUAUAUUGAAUUGUGGUUGUUCUUUUUCAUAGGCAUUUACGUUGAUCUUUUGUCAUUUUUGAGCUUCCUUUAAUUGCACCUUCAUUGUUGUAUGUAGCUUUGACAAAUGAUUUUUUAAACCUUUUAUCCCAAGUUUAUCAAUUUUUGAAAAGUCAAAAGUAUCAAGUCGUGGAUGGUAAUCAUAAUUGACAAAGAAAGAUGUUUGUUGCAUAGAAGAAUGCAUUGUAUUAUUGUAAGCAAACUCUGCCAAUGACAAGAGGGUUUUUCAAUCAUCUUAUUGAUAAUUGAUGGUAUACCUUACGUAUUGCUCCAAAACUUGGAUUACAUGCUCUAUUUGUCCAUGAAUUUGAAGAUGAAAGGCCAAAGAAAGCUUUAUGUCCAUCUUUCAAAUCUUAAAAAGAAUUAUCCGAAAUCUUGAUAUAAAUUGAGUCCUUCUAUCUAACAUAAUAUCUUUUAGCAAUCCAUAAUAUCAAUAAAUAUUAUCAAAGAAAAGCUUUGCAGUUUUUUCACCUGUGAUAGAUUUUGUGCACGGAAAAAAAUGUGCAAUUUUCAUAAAAUGAUCUACUAUCACAAAUAUAGAAUCACACAUUUAUGAAACUGGAAGAUCCAUAAUAAAAUCCAUAGAAAUAUAAGACCAUAGUUGUUCUGGAAUAGAUAAUGGUUGAAGAAGACUAUAAGAUCCAUGCUGAGGAAUUUUUGACCUUGAACAAAUGUCACACGAUUGAAUAAAGUCUUUCACAACCUUUCAAAUUUGCAGCCACUAAAAAUCUCUAGAUAUUAGUUAUAGAGUCUUGUUGCAUCCAAAAUGUCCUACUGUCAAGGACAAGAACUCGACAAAAAAGCAAUUCAGACAAGUGAGCCUUCACUCAAAAAAAGGUAAUAAAAUAUAAAUAAACAAGUAUAUAUAUUGAAAGAGAAACUGGAAUGGCUAUUGCCAAAAGACAAGAAAACUAGAGACUCUUGAAAUUAGACUAGAAGCAAGAAAGGAGUUGACAAGAAUGAAGAAGGAAGGCUUCACUCUUCUCUCUAUAUAUACUAUCUAACUAGGGACUACGUGGCGAUGUUCUAUAGGACCUCCAAUAUGUGUUGACUUUAUAGGACACAUGCCUUAACUUACAAGGCAAGUUUUUUUACGUGUGGACCACAUAGUUAGCUUGAUCUUUAAGCUAACAACAUGUGUGGCACAUAGCCAACUUGUUGACUAUGUUUCUAAUCCAAAAAGUUAAUUAAAGACACUUAUGAAGUCAAAGUAAUAUCUAUAAAGCUUCUAAGAAGCUUUCAUAUUAAAGACUAUAGAAUUAACUUAUUUUUACCUACUUUUACUUACUUCCACCUAUUUGUAUAAGUAAUUAUUAGCUUACAUGAGUAUGUCCGUGACAUUAACCCCUCUUCUAGGAACAAGUUCCACGAAGAGUGGUCAUCAUAUGUUGAAAAAUCUAUGAUGCGACGAAUUAUAUUUGCCACAUAUUCUAAUCUUUGUUUUCUUCGAAGAUGAUUGAUAGGGCCUCUCAACCAUCGGUAGUGUCCCAUACCAAGGCAGAAAGACCAUCCAGUUAUUUGAUCAUUGUUGAGGCCUUUAUAACUUCUUUCAAAUAGAACAUUUGAAACACCAUCAGGAAUUGUUCCUACCUCUAGCAAAAUCACCAAAUAUCGGGAGUCCCAUCCCAAAUCGUGAUACCAAAUGCAUUGUAUCUCGCUAUCUAUUCGAGGAAAAACAUACCAUUCUUGAAGAUCUUCAUCACAACUAUAAAAAAGCUACAAAUAAGGAUUGAAAGUAGAAUGUUAUUUUGUCUAGAUGUUGUUUCUUUUAUAAAGAAGGUUUUCAUCUUGAUUUUGAUGGAUGUCGUUGAUGAAAAGCCUCCAUCACCUUUUUUGUAUUUAUAAGAUUCUUUAUAAGCUCCCAUGUGCAUUCACAAAUAUCAUAUCCGUGCCAAUGGACAACAUAUUUUAAUUUAUUUCGGGGCCGCCUUGAAUCUAAGACUUCUUCUACUUCAAACUCUUCAUUAUUGUCCACUUCAAUAGGAGGAGGUGGAGCUUGUUAUCUUCUUGGUAUGUCCAUUAUCUUGUAUGAUUCAAGAAGAGAUACGAGGAAUAUUAGAUGGAUUUUCAUUGACUUUGGUAGAUGUAAACAACAUGCAAUUGGAUUGAUUUGUAUAAAAAUAGAAAAUGGUCCAAGUCUUCGAUAGUCCAACUUGUCACAAGGACGAGUGGUCUUGAUAUUGUGAUGAAGUAGCCAUACCUUAUCACCCAAGAAGAAUGGUGGUUGUUCUUUUUGAUAGACAUCCGCAUUGACCUUUUGUUGUUCUUGAGCCUCUUUUAACUGCGCCUUCAUCGUUGCAUGUAGCUCUGAUAAAUGAAUCGCCAAAUCUUUCGCAAUAGGAUUAUCAACUUUUGAAAAGUCAAAAGUAUCAAGUCAUGGAUGAUAACCAUGAUUAGCAAAGAAAGGUGUUUGUUUUGAAGAAGAAUGUACCGUAUUAUUGUAAGCAAACUCUGCCAAUAACAAAAAAGUUGUCCAAUCAUCUUGUUGGUAAUUAAUGGUACAUCUUAAAUAUUGCUUCAAAUCUUCAUUAAUACGCUGCGUUUGUCCAUCAAUUUGAGGAUAGAAUGCCAAAGAUAGUUUUAUAUCUACUUUUAGAAUCUUAAAAAGAAUCCGCCAAAAUCUUGAUACAAAUUGAAUUUUCCUAUCUGAUAUAAUAUCCUUGGAUAAUCCAUGAUAGGAAUAGAUAUUGACAAGAAAGAGCUUAGGUGUUUCUUCACCUGUGAUAGAUUUUGUACAUGGCACAAAAUGUGCCGUCUUAGUAAAAUGAUCUAUUAUCACGAAUAUAGAGUCAUAAGAACCUGGGAUUGGAAGAUUCGUGAUGAAGUCCAUAGAAACAGAAGACCAUAAUUGUUCAUGAAUGGAUAAUGGCUGAAGAAGUCCAAAAGAUCGAUGACAAGGAGUUUUUGAUCUUGAGCAAACAUCACAUGAUUAUACAAAAUCUUUGACUGCCUUUCACAUUUGAGGCCUUCAAAAAUCCUUAGAUAUCAGCUCUAAAGUUUUAUUAUAUCCAAAAUGUUGUGUAGCUGGGAAGUCGUGACGAGCUUGAAGAAUACGUAAACGUGCUUCUCCUUCUGGAACAUAUAGGCAUCCUUUGAAAUAGAAUAGGUUGUUCUUGAAUUCUAAUUUAGAGGGAUCAUGAGAUUUAGAAGAAUUAUUCUUGAUAUCAUGAACAAGAGGGUCUGAAGACAUACUUAACUGGACUUGCUUAAGAAAAGUUAAAUCAACAGUCAAUGUUGAUUUUAUUGCUCGAAGAUGAAAUUGCUCCGACUUCUAGAGAACCAUUCUUUGUUGCUCAAAAGCUGCAUCUCCUUCUUUUGGUAUAAGAUAGGAAUGUUUAGACAAGGUAUUAGACAAACCUUGUUGUUUUCUUGGCCGAUAAGUGAUGAUAAACUCGAAUCUUGAUAAAGACAUGCUCCAACAAGCUUGACGACGAUUUAAUAUGUGUGCUGACAUGAAAUACUCGAGGAUCUUGUGAUCCAUAUACACUGUGACUGGACUGGAAGCGCCUUCUAGAUAAUGACGCCAUUCUAGAAAAGAAUCCACAAUUCAAAGAUGUUCUUUGUCAUAGAUCUCAUAAUUGAUUUUUGUUGUUGAGAAUUUUCUUGAAUGAAAGGCUAUUGGAUGAAGUUUAUCAUCUAUUCCCAUUUGUGAUAAAACCGCACCUAGAGCAAAAUCUGAUGCAUCUGUUUCCAUAAAGAAUGCUUUGGAAAAAUCAACAUCAUACAAGAUUGGUGCAGAAACAAACGCUAUUUUCAAAGAUUCAAAAGCAACUUCCCCUUCUUGAUUCUAUUAGAGUUUGUCUUUACAAGUCAAACGUGUAAGUGGAGCUGCAACUCGAGAGUAGUCCUUGAUAAAGAUAUGAUAGUAGUUGGCAAAUCCCUAAAAGCAUUGGACAUCUCUUACUAUUUUUGAGAUCUUCCAAUCUAUAAUAGUUUGAACUUUCUUAGGAUCCAUCAUAAGUCCAUCAUUUGAAAUGAUGUAACCUAAGAAAUCGACUUGAGUAGUAUAGAAUACACACUUUUCUAUCUUAGCAUAGAGUCAUGUAUCUCUUAAUUUUUUUAAUACAUGACGAACAUGAAGUUCAUAUUCUUCGGGAUUCUUAGAACAGAUCAAUAUGUCGUCUAGAUAACAGACCACAAAAUCGUCCAAAAACUCUUGAAAAACAUCAUUCAUUAGAUGUUGAAAAGCUGCUGGUGCAUUUGUAAGUCCAAAAGGCAUGACGUUGUAUUCAAAAUGUCCAUACCUAGUUCGAAACGCAGUCUUCCAUUCAUCUCCUUCUUUGAUGCAUACUAGAUUGUAUGCUCCACGGAGAUCUAUUUUUGUAUAGAUCUUAGCUUGAUUCAGCUGAUCAAGAAGUCCAGAUAUUAAAGGUAGUAGAUACCUGUUUUUGAUGGUAAUCUUGUUGAGUCCUCGAUAAUCAACACACAUCCGUAAUGAUCCAUCUUUUUUCUUCACAAAUAGAAUUGGAGUUCCUGUUGGAGAUUUAGAAUGGCGUAUGAAAUUCUUGCCUAGAUUUUCUUCAAUAUACUUUUUGAGUUUACUCAACUCAUUUUGUGAUAAACUGUAGAUUGGUCCGAAUGGCGGUUGUGCUCCUUUUUGAAGGUGAAUUGAGCAAUUAUAGGGAUAAUGUUCUGGGAGUAUAUCCGCAUUUUUUUCCAAAUACAUCUUGAAAUUCUUGAUAUUGGCUUGGAAUGCCACUUAAAGUCUUUUCACAAGUAGAAACAGGUGUGACAUAAAUAAUAUAUGGUGAUUCUUUCAUAGCAGCAUAUAAGAAAGCUUUUGCACCUAUAAAUACGGGUUUAAUUGAACUAGACUUAUAACUCCCUACUUGAUUAACUACUUUGUUAGUUAUACUUUUAAAGAAAGUAAGAGUUCAAAAAAUCCAAUCUAUUUGAGGGUUGUAUUUUUCUAACCAUGACAAAGCUAAAAUGACUGGAUUAGAAGGAGAUCUAAUGAUAUUAAAUACUACAAAACUAUUAUGACCAUUGAUUAUUACUUCUGUAGGAAGGAUUUCAUAAAUAAUAUCUCCAGAAGACAAUGGACGACCAUCUAUGACUUCUACAUGAACAGGUUUAGUUUUCUUUAUUAAAGAUAUGCUAUGUCUUUUAGUAAAUUCUUCAUCUAAAAAACACGCGGAGGCUCCCGAAUCUAACAAGGCAGAGACUUUGUAAUGUUUAAGUCCUAAAAUAAUAUUUAAUGUAAAACAAGGAGAGGGCUCUAAGGAGAGAAUAGGACCUUUAUUAGAUGUUGUGCAAGGUUCCAGUCGCAUGGUUCUUAUUGUAGCUGGAUAAAUUCGUUUUCCGACAUAUUAUCUUUUUUCACAGCCAUAAUCCUAAUUUUGUGAUUACGUCAUUUCUUUGGACAAUGUUGAGCAGUGUGCUUUGAUUCUCCACAAUAUAAACAUAAUCCUUCUUGACGACAACAAGUCUUUUCUUACUCAGUAAGAGGUUUGAAACGUACUACAUCAAUUUGCAUAUCCUCUACUUCCGAAUGUAUGUGUUGAAGAGGUGUUGGUGUUACCAUUGAAUUAUAGUAAUGUUGAGGUCCACUUGUACGGAUCUCAGAUCGAAAUUCAAAAAGGCAAUUGUUACACUUUACAACAAAGUCAAUUGCUUGACUCAAUGUUUGAAGAUCAGGUAAAUUGAACAUUUAUUUUUUUACUUCAUAUUGUAAUCCGUAGAGAAAUUGACUAAUAAGUAUAGCAUCAUCCCACUUGAUAUCAGUUGCAAAUUGUCAAAAUUGUGAAGCAUUGUCAUGUUGUAACACGAGUAUACCGUGAAAAUAUAAAGAAAUGGGACUUUUAUUAAUAUACAGUUACCUCGAAUAUUGGGAGCAACGACCAAUUCCAGUGCAAAUACUGAGAGGCCAGGGUCAGUCACCCCGUUACAGUCAUCUAGGGCAUACUGAAAUGCUCCAUUCGAUUCCAAUAAUGGGAGUCAGCUUGAAGGGAAAGGACCAAUUCAACGACGGGUGAGCCUGGUUCAAAGAGCCAAUUGGAUCCAAUUUCAAGAUAUCCAAUCCAGGUCCUCUUACCCAAUAUGAGACCUGAAUUGGUCGGGCAACCCAAUGCUGUCUAAUUACGGGAAAAUCCAGGUCUUACUACGGGCCUUAGCCAAUCUGACGCGAAGGACCAAUUUGAUCCAAUUACGGGAACAUCCGGGUCUUACUACUGGACUCUUAGCCAAUAUGAGACCUGAAUUGGUCGGGCCACUCAAUGUGGUCCCGAUUAUGGGGUUUCGAUUCUGUUUCAGGCUGUCCUGUUCUCUGUGCCGUUUCAAGGAACGUUGUUUUCAGUAAAAGGAUCUCUUAAAGGUAAAUAUAGAAGAGAGAACUCUAAUGGCGGGAGCCAAUUCCGGAUCCAAGAUGGAAGAUUGAAGAAAUUCAGAGGCUAGGAUUUGAAAGAGGGGAGAAUUAGGGUUAAAGAGGAGGAUAGGUUAAGAAAUGAAGGAGAGAGAAUAAGUUUUUUUAGAGGGGUCGAAGAGCUAGCUUCAUGCUUCGGGCGGAGAAAAAAGACAAAGAAUUGGGUUUUUUUUCUUCAUAGGAUUUUGGGAAGACUGAGGCAAUCGUUGCUGAAGUCAGUGUUGUAAUGGUGAAUCGGGAUUUUUAAUGAAGUGGAUUUGAUUACUCUUGACUAUUUUGUGAAAUCGAGUUACAUCUGUGAUGAAGAAUUAAAAGGGUGUCUAUAGGAUUGAGUAUGCAAAGUGAAUGAAAAUUGUUGGAUUAAUCUAACGAGACAGUCAGUGGAUACAAGAUCGUGAGUAUAAAGCGGUAUCAAAGAUUAGCAGUUUGGGUUGUUCGGGGUUCUUUGUAACGUCUAGAGACCUACCGACUGGAGCAAAAAGGACUUUGGCGAGCAAUCGAAGGACAUCCGUAUAGAUUUAUGAUGUAUUCUUGUAGUCGUUUAUAUUCCAACAAUCAAUAAUCGAUAGACUGCUUGAAUAUUGGUGAAUCUCUAUACUACCUUCUACAGCCAAAUGCUCGACGCGUUCUCGAGCAGGAAAGCACGUAGUAUGAUAGCGUACAAUAUUAUUGAUCGAUUGCCUUAUCGUAAAAUAUGGAUCUUAUUGGUUGCAACACAAAUUACAUCAUGCUCUCCAUACAUGGAUCGAAACUCCACCAAAAAAGCAUCUAGAUUAUCCAAUAUUGGAUCUCGUCAUUCAAGAAAAGAUAAAAACCACAAUAGUGCUGAACUUCAAAGAAGCAUAUCAAUGAAUCUAACUUGUGAUCCUGAAAUUAGAUAGCUUUGGGGUUGAAGUUCAAUCACAAGUUGCACUUUAUUGAUAAAUCCUUGAAACUUGGAUCUAGUGCCAUCAAACUUCUCAGAUAGGACAAUUCUUGGUUCUCUAACACUGGAAGGGCGUUCCACCAUAGGAGAAAGGACAUGGUUUGAUACAGAUAUUAAAGUAGCUCCAACCAUUUCUAUAUCUUCACUUCCUAUCAAUCUUGUUGCUUCUUGUGGUGGUAUAUUGAGUUGAUGCAUCGCAAGCAUUAACUCCUUCAAUUGCUCUUGCAUUUGUGCCAUUGCACUCUUCAUUUCAAUAAGUUUUGUCCUGAUAAUAGUAAGAAAAGAGAAGAUGUCUUAUAUCGCUCAAGACAAAUAGAAGAGAGGACUUUAGAAUAAAGAAAAUACUAAAAAUAAUAUUAGUUUAGAAGAGGGUAAUCCGUAAUUUCUAAUAUGCUUAAAUCUUAUCAAGAAAAAGGGGUAAUCUACUCUUAAUUAAGAUUAGACAAAGCUUUGAUAUUGUGGUGUACUCUUGUCAAUCUUUCAAGGACAAGAACUCGAUGAGAAAGCAAUUCAGACAAGUGAGCCUUCACUCAAAGAAACAUAACAAAAUACAAAUAAGCAAGUAUGUAUAUUGAAAGAGAAAUUGGAAUGGCUAUUGCCAAAAGACAAGAAAAUUAGAAACCCUUGAAACUAGAUUGGAAGCCAGAAAGGAGUUGACAAGAGUGAAGAAGGCUUCACUCUUGUCUCUAUAUAUACUAUCUAACUAGAGGCUAUGUGGCGACGUUCUAUACGACCUCCAAUAUGUGUUGACUUUGUAGGACAUAUGCCUUGACUUACAAGGCAAGUUUUUCUACAUGUGGAGCACAUAGUUGGCUUGAUCUUCAAGCUAACAACAUGUGUGGCAUAUAGCUAACUUGUUGACCACGUUUCUAAUCCAAAAAGUCAAUUAAAGACACCUAUGAAGUCAAAACAGCAUCUAUUAAGCUUUUGGGAAGCUUCCAUAUUAAAUACUAUAGAAUUAACUUAUUUUUAUAUAUUUUUACUUACUUCCAUGUAUUUGUAUAUGUAAUUAUUAGCUUACAUGAGUAUGUCUGUGACACCUACUGUUGGAAAAUUAUGAUGUGCUUCUCAUUCAAGUACAUACAGGUGUCGUUCGAAAUAAAGUAGGUUGUUCUUAAACUUAAACUUAGAAGUAUAACAAGACUUAGAAGAAGUAUUCUUGAUAUUAUGAACAAGAGGAUCAAAAGACAUACUUGAUUGACUUUGUUUGAAAAAAGUUAAAUCAACAGUCAAUGUUGAUUUCACUACUCAAAGAUGAAAUUGUUUUGACUUUAAUUAAAUUGUCUUUUGUUGAUUAAAAGUUGCAUCUCUUUCUUUAGGGACAAAAUAAGAACGUGGUUAAAGAGCAUCGAACAAAUUGUUGUUUUCUUGACUAAUAAUUAAUAUUCAAAUCAAAGCUUGACAAAGACAUAUUCCAAUGAGCUAUCUAGGACAUGAACUCCAAUAAAAGAUAAUCUCAAUACACUCUUGUGUGACUCGAAAAUACUUAGAAAUCACUCAAAGGUAAUAAUAUUUUCAACUAGAAUGGCUAUUACCAAAGACUAGAAAACAUGACGACUCUUGAAACUAGACUAGAAAUAAGAAAGGAGUUGACAAGAGUGAAGAAGGCUUCACUCUUGUCUCUAUAUAUACUAUCUAACUAGGGGCUAUGUGGCAACGUUCUAUAAGACCUCGAAUAUGUGUUGACUUUGUAUGACACUUGCCUUGACUUACAAGACAAGUUUUUCUACAUGUGGGCGACAUAGUUAGCUUGGUUUUCAAGCUAACAAGAUGUGUGGCACAUGGCUAACUUGUUGACCAUGUUUCUAAUCCAAAAAGUCAAUUAAAGACACCUAUGAAGUCAAAGCAAUGUCUAUAAAGCUUCUGAGAAGCUUCCAUAUCAAAUACUAUAGAAUUAACUUACUUUAAUCUAAUUUUACUUACUUCUACUUAUUUAUAUAUGUAAUUACUAGCUUACAUGAAUAUAUCCGUGAUAUUACCUCCCCUUCUAGGGACGAGUUCUACGAGGAGCGGUCAUCAUAUGUUGAGGAAAUUUGUGAUGCGUCAAAUUAUAUUUGCCACAUACUCUGAUCUUUGUUCUCUUCGAAGAUGAUUGAUAAGGCCUCUCAAUCAUUGGUAGUGUCCCAUACCAGGGCGGGAAGACCAUCUAGUUAUUUGGUUGUUGUUGAGGCCUUCAUAACUUCCUUCGAGUAGAACAUUUGGAACACCAUCAGGAGUUGUUUCAACCUCUAGUAAAAUCACCAAAUAUCAGAAGUCCCUUCCAAGGUCGUGAUACCAAACGCAUUAUAUUUCGCCAUCUAUUCAAAGAAGAACAUGUCAUUUUUGAAGAUCUUCAUCUUCAUUGCGUCAUCUUCAAGGUUGUGAUAAUUAUAAUGUCUCAUUCGACAUGUCAAUAAAUGAAGGCUCUUGAGUCGAAUGCAGUGGUUGUUGGUUUUUCAUCUCUUUAGUGUCAUAACUAUAAAAAUGCUACAAAAAAGGAUUGAAAGUAGAAUUUUAUCUUAUCUAGAUCUUGUUUCUUUUGUAAAGAAGAUUUUUAUCUUGGUUUUGAUGGAUGUCAUUGAUGAAAAGCCUCCACCGUCUUAACUGUAUUUACAAGAUUCUUUAUUGGCUCCCAUGUGCGUUCACAAAUAUCAUAUCCGUGCCAAUAGAUAAGAUAUUUCAAUUUAUUUUGGCGUCGCCUUGAAUCUAAGACUUCUUCCACUUCAAACUCUUUAUUAUUGUCCACUUCUAUAGGAGGAGGUGAAGCUUGUUUUUUUCUUGGUAUGUCCACUAUCUUGUAUGAUUCAAGAAGAGAUACGUGGAGUACUGUAUGGAUUUUCAUUGACUCUGGUAGAUGUAAACGAUACAAAAUUGAAUUGAUUUGUGCAGAAAUAGAAAAUGGUCCAAGCCUUGGAUAGUCCAACUUGUCACAAUGACGAGUGGUCUUAAUAUUGCAGCAAAGUAACCAUACUUUAUCACCUAUGUGGAAUGGUGGUUGUUCCUUUCGAUAGACAUCCACAUUUAUCUUUUGUCAUUCUUGAGUUUCUUUUAAUUGUGCCUUCAUUGCUGUAUGUAACUUUGAUAAUUGAUUUGCGAUAUCUUUUAUUGAAGGAUUAUCAACUUUUGAAAAAUCAAACGUGUCAAGUGGUGGAUGAUAACCAUAAUUGGCAAAGAAAGGUGUUUGUUGCAUAGAGGAAUGCACCAUAUUAUUAUAAGCAAAUUCUUCCAAUGGCAGAAGAGUUGUCCAAUCAUCUUGUUGAUAAUUGAUGGUACAUCUUAAGUUUUACUCCAAGACUUGAUUUACGCGCUUUGUCUGUCCGUUAGUUUGAGGAUAAAAAGCCAAAGAUAGUUUUAUAUCUACUUGUAUAAUCUUAAAAAGUAUUCUCCAAAAUCUUGAUAUAAACUGAGUUUUCUUAUUCGAUAUAAUAUCAUUUAAUAACCCAUGAUAGCGAUAGAUAUUGUCAAUAAAAAGCUUAGCUAAUUCUUCAUCCAUGAUGGAUUUUGUACAUGGCACAAAAUGUGCCAUCUUGGUGAAGCGAACUACUAUCACAAAUAUAGAGUCAAAAGAACCUGAGCUUGAAAGAUCUGUGAUGAAGUCCAUAGAAACAGAAGACCAUAGUUGUUCAUGAAUUAGUAAUGGUUGAAGAAGUCUAAAAGGUUGAUGAUAAGGAUUUUUUGAUCUUGACCAAACAUCACAUGAUUAUACAAAAUCUUUCACUGCCUUCCUUGUUUGACGCCUCUAAAAAUCCCUAAAUAUUAACUCUAAAGUCUUAUUGUAUCCAAAAUGUCCUGUUGCUGGAAAGUUGUGACGAGCUUGAAGAAUACGUAAACGUGUUUCUCCUUCUGGAACAUAUAGGUGUCUUUAGAAAUAAAGUAGGUUGUUAUUGAACUCGAAUUUAGAGGCAUCAUGAGAUUUAAAAGAAUUAUUCUUGAUAUCGUGAACAAGAGGGUCUGAAGACAUACAUAAUUAGACUUGCUUGAAAAAAGUUAAAUCAAUAGUCAAUGUUGAUUUUAUUGUUCAAAGAUGAAAUUACUCUAGCUUCAAGAGAAUCAUUUUUUGUUGCUCAAAAGCUGCAUCUCCUUCUUUUGGUGCAAGAUAAGAACGUCUAGACAAGGCAUCGGACAAACCUUAUUAUUUUUCUGGUUGAUAAGUGAUGAUAAACUCGAAUCUUGAUAAAGACAUGCUCCAACAAGCUUAACGACGAUUUAAUACAUGUACUGAUAUGAAAUACUUAAGGUUCUUAUGAUCCGUAUACACAGUGAUUGGACUUGAGGUGCCUUUUAGAUAAUGACACCAUUCUUGAAAUGAAUCCACAAUUGCAAGAAGUUCUUUAUCGUAGAUUUCAUAGUUAAUCUCGACUGCUGAAAAUUUCUUGGAAUGCAAUGUCACGGACAUACUCAUAUAAGCUAGUAAUUACAUAUACAAGUAGAUAAAAGUAAGUUAAUUCUAUAAUAUUUAAUAUAGAAGCUUUUUAGAAGCUUCAUAGAUGCUGCUUUGACCUCAUAGGUGUCUUUAAUUGACUUUUUGGAUUAGAAACGUGGUCAACAAGUUGGCCAUGUGCCACACAUGUUGUUCGCUUGAAGAUCAAACCAACUAUGUGGCCCACACGUAGAAAAACUUGCCUUGUAAGUCAAGGCAUGUGUCCUACAAAGUCAACAUAUAUUGGAGGUCUUACAGAACGUCGCCACGUAGCCCCUAGUUAGAUAUUAUAUAUAGAGACAAGAGUGAAGCCUUCUUCACUCUUGUCAACUCCUUUUUUGCUUCCAGUCUAGUUUCAAGGGUCUCUAGUUUUCUUGUCUUUUGGCAACAGCCAUUCUAGUUUCUCUUUCAAUAUACAUACUUAUUUAUUUAUAUUUUGUUACCUUUCUUUGAAUGAAGGCUCACUUAUCUGAAUUGCUUUUUUAUCGAGUUCUUGUCCUUGACAUACAAAGCUACUAGAUGGAGCUUGUCAUCUGCUCCCAUUUGUGACAAAACGACAUCCAAGGCAAAGUGUGAUGCAUCUGUUUUCAUAAAAAUUACCUUGAAAAAGUCGACGCAAUACAAGAUUGGUGCAGAAGUAAAUUCCUUCUUUAAAGCAUCAAACGCUACUUUAACUUCUUUACUCCAUUCAAAUUUGUCUUUACAAGUCAAACGCGUAAGUGGAGCUGCAACUUGAAAAAAGUUCUUAAUGAAGAUUGGAUAGUAAUUUGCAAAGCCCAAAAAGCAUUGCACAUGUUAUAUUGUUCUUAGAAUCUUCCAAUCUAUGAUAAUCUGGACCUUCUUAGGAUCCAUCAUCAGGCCUUUGUUGGAAAUGAUGUAUCCUAAAAAGUCAACUUGAGUAGUAUGGAAUAUACACUUUUCCAACUUAGCAUAUAAUCUUACAUCUCUUAGUUUUUGUAACACACGAUGAAUAUGGAGUUCAUGUUCUUCUAAGUUCUUAGAGUAGAUUAGAAUGUCGUCUAAAUAAUAAAUGACAAAAUCAUCUAAAAAUUCACAAAAAAUAUCAUUCAUAAGAUGUUGAAAAGCGGCUGGUACAUUUGUGAGUCCAAAAGGUAUGACAUUAUAUUCAAAAUAUCCAUACUUAGUUCGAAAAGUUGUCUUCCAUUCAUCUCCUUCUUUGAUGCGGACCAAGUUGUAUGCUCCUCGUAGUUUUAUUUUUGUGUAGAUCUUUGCUUGAUUGAGUUGAUCAAGAAGUCCUAAAAUCAAAGGUAAAGGAUACAUGUUUUUGAUGGUGAACUUGUUAAGGCCUCGAUAGUCUAUGUAUAUCCAUAGAGAUCCAUCUUUUUUCUUCACAAAUAAGAUCGGCGCUCCUGAUAGAGAUUUUGAAUGGCAUAUGAAGUUUUUAACCAAAUUCUUGUCAAUAUACUCCUUUAGUACAACCAACUCGUUUUAUAAUAAGUUAUAGAUUGGUCCAAAUGGCGGUUGAGCUCCUUCUUGAAGAUCAAUUGAACAAUCAUAAGGUCGAUGAACUGGAAGAAUAUCUGCAUUCUUCUUUUCAAAAACAUCUUGAAAUUCUUGAUAUUGACUAGGAAUAUGACUUGAUGUCUUUUCACUAUCUGAAAUAGGUGUGGCAUAUAUAGCAAAAGAUGACCCCUCUUUGGCUGCAUAUAUGAAAGCUCUUGCUCCUACUAGUAAGGGCUUAGAUGCAUUAGACUUAUGUAUUUCCUCUUGAUUAAUAGAAUUUCGAAAUAAACUAUUAAGAAAGUUAAGGUUAUGGAAAAUCAAUCUAUGUGAGGGUUAUACUUUUCUAACGAGGAUAGUGCUAAAAUGAUUAGAUUCAAAGGAGAUCGUAUCACAUUAAAUAUUACUAUACUAUUAUGAUCUUUAAUUAUUACAUCUAAAGGAACAAUCUCAUGGGUAACAUCACUGGAAGACAACGAACGACCAUCUAUGACUUCCACAUGUACGGGUUUGAUUUUCUUGACUAAUGAUAUUUCUUAUUUUUUGACAAAGUCUUCGUCUAUGAACCAAGCUGAGGCUCCUGAAUCUAACAAUGCAAAGACUUUAUGAUUUUUGGGUCCUAAAUACAUAUCUAUUGUAAAACAAGGUAAGGGAUCUGAGGAGAGAAUAGGACCUUCACUAGGUGUUGCACAUGGUUCUAGCGGCACGAUCCUAUUGUAGCUGGAAGAACUUGUUUUCUGACAUACUGUCUUCUUUUGCAAUGGUACUCCUCAUUUUAUGAUUGUGUUGCUUCGUUGGACAAUGUUGAGCAGUGUGUUUAGCUUCUCCACAAUAUAGACAUAAGCCCUCUUGAUGUUGUUGAGUCUUUUUCUGCUCCAUGAGGAGUUUAAAACAUACCGUAUCAAUUUGCAUUGACUCUAGCUUUGAUGGAAAGGUUUCUAAAAACUUAGAAGGUAUUGCCAUGACUUGACUUAUUCUUCUCCAGCCAUAUCUUUAUUCUUCACGUCUUUCAAAUAAACGAUUAUCACAUGCAAUAGCUUGAGCAAUGAAUUAUUCUAAAGAAUCUAUUUUUGGCAUUGUUAAUAAUAAAUCUUUGAUAUUAUCCUUUAAUCUAUAGCAAAAUUGAUUGAUAAAGGCUUUAUCAUUCUAAUCCACAUCACAAGCAAGAUUUUCGAAUUCAGCGGCAUACGUGGUGGUUGAACGUGAUCCUUGUCAUAAUGAUACAAGCUUGGUCUCUACUACCCUUUUUUGAUCACUUUCUCCAAAUAUAGCCAUAAAUACUUCCAAGAAUGAGUUCAAAUCAUAGAAUAGUCGUGAAUCUUUUUCCAUCAAAGGUGCAAAUCAAGAGAACGCACUUCCAGAUAGAAGUGCGCCUAUGAAUCCAACUUGAGUAAAUCCAAUAGGGUAUUAGAAAGGAUGCAACCUUAAGUAGAGUUUAAUUUGAUGCAAAAACCCUAAAAAUCUUGUUCUUGUUCCAUCAAACUUUUUAGACAUACUAAUCCUUGCCUCCCUUGAGUUUGUAGAAGUAAAACUCCCGAAAUUUGGUUGCGAGACUAAUCGACUUGUUUCCUUCAACUGCAUAAUUUCUUGGCAUAGACUCUGAACUUCUUCCAUAGUAGUAGGAAUAGUGCUUCUAUGGUUGAUGUUGGUGAUGCGUGAAAUUUCGGUCCUAAGAGUGUUGAUAAGCUCAUGAAGAUCUGUAAUAGUUGCAAAUCUAUUUUCACUUCCACCAAGUGUAGCAUCUAUGAUUUUUUCUUUCAUAGAUAACUCAAAUGAAUUCAAAAGUUAAAUAAGAAGAGGAUAAUCCACAACCUCUAAAAAUAAAUUCCACAAAGAGAGGUAAUCCACUCUCUUUAAGAAAAAGAUCAAUGUUAGAAAAUAAGAUUUUUUAUUUAAAGGUAGAUAGUCUGCAACCUUCAAAAUAUAAUAAUAGAAGUGGAGUAAUCCACUCACUUCUAAAAUAAGACAAAAAUAAUAUGUUAGCACUCUUAUCAAACUAUCAAGGAUAUGAACUCCAAAGAAAGAUAAUCUCAAUACACUCUUGUGUGACUCGAAAAUACUUAGAAAUCACUCAAAGGUAAUAAUAUUUUGAACUAGAAUGGCUAUUACCAAAGACUAGAAAACAUGACGACUCUUGAAACUAGACUGGAAAUAAGAAAGGAGUUGACAAGAGUGAAGAAGGCUUCACUCUUGUCUCUAUAUAUACUAUCUAACUAGGGGCUAUGUGGCAACGUUCUAUAAGACCUCGAAUAUGUGUUGACUUUGUAUGACACUUGCCUUGACUUACAAGGCAAGUUUUUUUACAUGUGGGCGACAUAGUUAGCUUGGUCUUCAAGCUAACAACAUGUGUGGUACAUGGCCAACUUGUUGACCACGUUUCUAAUCCAAAAAGUCAAUUAAAGACACCUAUGAAGUUAAAGCAAUGUCUAUAAAGCUUCUAAGAAGCUUCCAUAUCAAAUACUAUAGAAUUAACUUACUUUUAUCUACUUUUACUUACUUCUACUUAUUUAUAUAUUUAAUUACUAGCUUAUAUGAGUAUGUUCGUGAUACGAGCCUGGGAAUAAUUCAAAACACAAGCUGACAUGAAAUACUUGAGGUUUUUGUGAUUUGUAUACACAAUGAUUGGAUUAGAAGCACCUUUUAGAUAAUGACACUAUUCUUGGAAAGAAUCCACAAUUACAAGAAGUUCUUUGUUGUAGAUCUCAUAAUUAAUCUCAACUGCUAAAAAUUUCCUAGAAUAAAAAGUUACUACGUGAAGUUUAUCAUCUAUUCCCCUUCAAGAAUUCUACAGCACCUAAAGCAAAGUCUAAUGCAUUUUUUUUCAUAAAGAAUGUCUUAGAGAAAUUAACGCAAUAUAAGAUUGGUGUAAAAACAAAGGUUGUCUUUAAAGCUUCAAAUGUUGCUUUCACUUCUUGAUUCCAUUGAAUUUUGUCUUUACAAGUCAAACAUAUAAGUGAAGCUGCAAUUUGAAAGAAGUCUUUAAUAAAGAUUUGAUAGUAAUUGGAAAAUCUCAAAAAACAUUAGAUAUCUUAGACCAUUUUUGGGAUCUUUCAAUCCAUAAUCAUUUGAACUUUUUUAGGAUCCAUCAUAAGUCCAUCGUUUGAAAUGAUAUAACCUAAGAAUUCAACUUGAAUAGUGAAGAAUACACACUUUUCUAUCUUGGCAUUGAGUCAUACAUCUCUUAAUUUUUGUAAGAUACAAUGAACAUGAAGUUCAUAUUCUUCAAUAUUUUUAGAAUAAAUCAAGAUAUUAUCCAGAUAAUGAACAAUAAAAUUAUCCAAAAACUCUUAAAAAAUAUCACAUAAGAUGUUGAAAAGCUACUAGUGCAUUUAUAAUUCCAAAAGGCAUGAAAUUAUAUUCAAAAUAUCCGUACCUGAUUCAAAAUGCAGUCUUCUAUUCAUCUCCUUUUUUGAUGCAUAUUAGAUAGUAUGCUCCUUGUAGAUCUGUUUUUGCAUAGAUCUUAACUUGAUUCAUCUGAUCAAGAAGUAUAGAUAUUAAAGGUGGUAGAUACUUCUUAAUGGUGAUCUUGUUGAGUCCUUGAUAAUCAACAUACAUCCUCAAUGAUCAAUCUUUUUUCUUCACAAAUAGAAUUGUGGUUUUUGAUGGAAAUUUGGAAUAGCGUAUGAAGUUCUUGGCUAGAUUUUCUUCAAUAUACUCCUUGAGUUUGGCCAACUCAUUUUGUGAUAAAUUGUAGAUUGGUCCAAAUGGUGGUUGUAUUUCUUCUUGAAGGUUAAUUGAAUAGUCAUAGGAACUAAGUUCUAAAAGAGUAUCUACAUUCUUUUUGUCAAAUACAUCUUGAAAAUCUUGAUAUUGGCUUAAAAUACUACUUGAAAUCUUUGUACCAUUAGAAACGUAUGUGACAUAAAUGACACAAGUUGAUCCUUCUUUUACAACAUAUAAGAAAGUUCUUGCACCUACAAACAUAGGUUUAAUUCUACUAGACUUAUAAUUUUUUAAUUAUACUAGACUUGUGAUUUUUUAUUUGAUUAACUAUACUUUUAGUUAUAUUAUUAGAAAAGUCAAGAAUACAAGAAAUCUAAUCUACUUGAAGAUUGUAUUUUUUUAACCACAGUAAAUCUAAAAUGAUUAGAUUAGAAAGAGAUCUAAUGAUAUUAAAUACUUCAAAGCUAUUAUGACUAUUAGUUAUUACUUCUAUGGAAAGGAUUUUGUGAAUAAUAUCUUUAGAAGAUAAUGAAUAAUUAUUUAUGACUUCUUUAUGAAUAGGUUUAAUUUUCUUUACUAAAGAUAUGUAGAGUCUUUUAGCUAAUUCUUCAUCUAAGAAACACGCUGAGGAUCUUGAAUCUAACAAGGCAAAGGCUUUGUAACAUAUAGGUCCUAAAAUAAUAUUUAAUAUAAAAUAAAAUGAGGGUUCUAAGGAGAGAAUAUGACCUUCAUUAGGUAUUGUAUAAGGUUCUAGCUACACGGCCCCUAUUGUAAAUGGAUAAACUCGUUUUUUGAUAUAUUGUCUUCUUUGACAUUUAUACUCCUCAUUUUAUAAUUACAUCGCUUCUUUUGAUAAUAUUGAGUAGUGUACUUAGGUUCUCCAUAAUAUAAGCACAAUCCUUUUCGACGGCCAUGAAUCUUUUCUUGCUUAGUAUGAGGUUUAAAAUGUAUUACAUCAAUUUGCAUAUCCUCUACUUUUGAAUGUAUGUAUAGAAUAGAUAUUAGUUUGUUUUUGUAAGAUAUUAGUAAAAUAAACUAAUAGUCCAUAGAAUAGUCAGUUCAAGAGGACAGAUGGUUAAAUCAGUUAUUAAAAGUGAUUAUUAUAGGAUUACGGUUAAAAUUUGGAAAUCAAUAGCAAUUAUAUAGGAGUUGUAGAAGUUAGUUUGAGGGGCCAAAUUGUAAUAGUCAUGAGCCGAGAUUAAGCUUGGUGCUACCUCUCUGUUUUCUUUGUUUUGGACAGAAAAAGUCUGUGAUUAUAGAAAUUCUGUGAAUCUAGAUUGAUUGGAGUGAAGUCUGUUAUUCCUCGUGUUGGAUGGAAUUUAUGAGUUUUAAGCAGUCUUUUAAGAGUGCAAGGUUGCACAAUGUUGUUAUCAAUUGAUGAAGGAGUAUUGUUACUGGAAGGAAGUAUUGUAGUGUUUCUUGGUGUUUUAGUAGUUUGGAUUACAAUUAACUAUGUGACCCUAACAAGUAAAGCUCAUGCGCUUAGUCUUUCCCUAUGUUCGAAUUUCCCUAUACAAGUUUAUUCUGAAAGGAAUUUGUAAAAUAAGUAAAAUGACAAUUACAAUAUGUGUUGAUAUUGCCAUUGAAUUAUAGUAAUGUUGAGGCCCACUUGUCUAACUCUCACAUUAAAAUUCGAAAAGAUGAUUGUCACACAUUAUAGUAAAGUCAAUUACUUGACUUUAUGUUUGAAAAUCAAGUAAAUUGAGCAUUAAUUUAUAUAUCUCAUAUUGUAAUCCAUAAGAAAAUUGGCUAAUCAGUUCAGCAUCAUCCCACUUGAUAUCAGUUGCAAGUUGUCAAAAUUGUGAAGCAUAUAAUAUUAUGGAUCAAUUGCCCUAUUGUAAAAUAUGGAUAUUGUUGGUUGCAACAUGAUUUACAUUAUAUUCUCCAUACAUAGAUCAAAACUUCACUAAAAAAGCCUCUAAAUUAUCCAAUAUUAGAUCUCUUUGUUCUAAAAAAGAUGAAAACCACGAUAAUGCUGAACUUCAAAGAAGUGUAUCAAUGAAUCUAACUUGUGAUCUUGGAGUUAGAUAACUUUGAGGUUGAAGUUCAAUCACAAGUUAUAAUUGAUUGAUAAAUCCUUCAAACUUAGAUCUUGUGCUGUCAAACUUUUCAAGUAAGGCAAUUCUUGGUUCUGUAAUACUGGAAGAAUGUUCUACCAUAGGAGAGGACAUGAUUGGAUGUAGAUAUUGAAGCAACUCCAAUCAUAUCUAUGUCUUCACUUCCUGCCAUUCUUGUUGCUCUUUGUGGUGGUAAAUUGAGUUGAUGCAUCACAAGCAUUAAUUCCUUCAAUUGCUCUUGCAUUUGUAUCAUUGCACUCUUAAUUUCAAAAAGCUCUUCUAUGUUAAUACUUAGAAAAUAAAUGUCUAAUAUUGCUUAAGACAAAUAGAAGAAAGGACUUGAAAACAAAGAAGAUACUAAGAACAAUAUUAGUUUAGAAGAGGGUAAUCUGCAACUUCUAAUAUGCUUAUGUCUUAUCAAGAAAAAAGGAUAAUCUACUCUUAAUUAAGAGAAGACAAAAUUCUAAUAUUGUAAGUAUACUCUUGUCAAUCUGUCAAAGACAUGAAUUGGAAGAAGAUGCAUAAACUUGAAAACUUAUAACAAAAAAAAAAAAAAAAAAUUGAAAUAAAAAAAUAUAUGUAUUAAUAGGAAACUAGAAUGGCUAUUGCUAAAAAAACAAAGAAAUUAGAGACUCUUAAAUCUAGACUAAAAGCAAGAAAAGAGUUGACAAGACUGAAGAAGGCUUCACUCUUGCCUCUGUAUAUAUUAUCUAAUUAGAAUCUACAUGGCCAUGUUCUAUAGGACCUCUAAUAUGUAUUGACUUUACGAGACGCAUGCCUUAGCUUACAAGGUAAAUUUUCUACCUGUAGGCUAUAUAAUUAGCUUGUUCUUCAAGCUACUAAUGUGUGUGGCACAUGGCCAACUUGUUGACCAUGUUUUUAAUCUAAUAAAUCAAUUAAAGACACCUAUAAAGUCAAAGUAAGCAUCUAUGAAGCUUUUAAGAAGCUUGUAUAGAAGAUAUUAUAGAAUUGACCUACUUUUACUUAAUAUUGUCUAAAUCAUAUAAAUAAUUAUUGAUUUAUAUAUGUAUGUCUAUGACAAAAGCUUUAUAGAAGCUUCAUAAAUGAUGCUUUAAUUUUAUACAUAUUUAUAGCUAAUUGAUAAGCUAGAAACUUAAUCAAUAAGUUAACCAUGUAUCACACAUAUUAAUAGCUUGUAGAACAAGCUAAUUAUGUGGCUCAUAUAUAGAAAACUUGCUUUAGAAGUUACAAUGUCAUGUAUCUCACAAUAUCAACACGUGUUAGAGGUCCUAUAGAAUAUUACAAUGUAGCUCCUAUUUAGAGAAUAUAUAUGGAGAUAAUAGUGAAGUCUUCUUUACUCUUAUUAAUGUCUUUUUAGUCCUUAGUCUUAUUUCAAGUCUUUCUAAUAUCUCUAAUACAUAUUAACUUUACUAUUUGUUUCACUUGUAUUUUAUAAUAGCUAUUCUAGUUCAAUACAUUACUAUCUUUGAAUAAUUUUGUAGUCUUUUCAAGUCACAUAAAAAUAUAUUGAAGUUUUUUUUUUUUUUUUUUUUUUUUUUGAAGAUUUAUAUCUUUAAUAGGGAUAGGAAUGGGAUUAGAAGAUGGAAACAUGGAAUAUGAACAAGGGAUAAGGGAUGGAAACAAGAUUUAGAAAUGGAAAGAAAGAACAAGGAAUGAGAAUGAGAGAUGGGAAUGAGAUUGGAGGAUGGAAAUAGGAAAUAGGAAUAAGAGAUAAGAGAUAGAAAGUAGAUACAAAAAUGAGAACAAAAGACAAGAAAUAAAAACAAGGGAAGAAAGAUGGAAAAAAAAUGAAGCAUAAGAUAGCAAAGAAGAAUGUGACUUUAAUAAAAUUAGAAUAUGGCUUUAAUAACUCUUUAAAAAAAUUAUAAAAUAAUAAUGGUCUAAUUUAGUUUGCUACCACAUACAAUAACUAUCAUACAAAAUUAUACUACAACAUAAUUAUUUUUAUGUAAUCAAGGAUAUUAAUGCCAAAAGUUACAAGCUAAAACUAAAAUUUUCUAUCAUUAUAUGGAAGAUAUUUUUCAACAAAAAAUCUAUGAAAAAAAAAAAAAAAAAAAAAAAAAAACUUGACAAAAAAUAUGUCAUUUUCUUCAUCUUUGUGUACAUUCUACCUUCCAAACACAUAAAGAGCAUACAUAUCUCUAAUAGAAUUGAUCAAUUUAAUAAUUAACAUAUUUAUAAGCAUUCAAUUAUACUUAGAUAAAAAUUUAAAUUUAUAAAAAAAAAUACUAUUUCAUUUUUAUGUAGACUUUUAAAAUCAUUUACAAAAAUAAAAAUAAAAAUAUCACAAUUUAUUUCUUCUUCUUCUUCUUCUUCUUUUAUCAGGGAGGAAUAAUUCAUAUCUAUGAAAAUGCAUUGGAUAUCAUAAUUAAUCUAUAUUUUUGUAUAACCUUCCAAGAAAACACUUAAAUGUAUGUAUAUACAUUGUUAUUCUUAUUACAAUGGAUGUAUAUAUAUAUAUAUAUAUAUAUAUAUAUUGCUUUUACUUGUUAACUAGUCAAUAUAUUUUGUAUGAAGACAAUGUGGCUGUUAUAUACUUAGAAAAUAAAGCACAAGUUGUUGAUAGUAUUUCUUGUUAGAUAUCUCUAUUUAGAGUUCAAUUCUACAUUAGUGUACAAUUUAGAAUACUCAUCUAUGACAGCAAAUACAUUUUCUGAAAAUUCAAUAAAAGAACCCUUUACAAAUAUGUUAACAUUUCAUUUAUAUAUAUAUAUAUAUAUAUAUAUAUAUAUAUAUGGAAAAAAAUAUAAUUUUUUUAAAGAUGAAAUAUCUUGAGUUUCUACUCUCAUUAAGGAUAUUGUUUGACAGUAAUGCUGUAAUAUUUGUACAGUUUCAGUUAGAAAAUAUUUUUUAUAAAUAUUAAAGAAUUUAUUGCUAGUUUUUACUAAAUCGUAUGUAUAGAAUGUGCUACUUAGCAGUAGUGUUUAAAUUAUGUUUCAGGUAAUUUUUGCAAUAAGUUUUAUUUUUUUAGAAAAUUUUAUGGAAUUAUGAAUUCAAUUUCACAGUCUAAUUUCUUACCAGAACCAAUUUAAUUUCCAAAUGGAAAAUCAAACUCAGAAACUGGUCUUUAUUAACCAACAUGAUAAUAUAGAUUUAUAUUUAUAUUUAUUGAUAAAAAUAUUUUAAAGGUCUAGUUCAAAAUUUAACUUUUAACCUGAGACUAUCAUAACUCACACUGUUAUUCACUAAGAAUGUUUUUAUUUAUUAUGUUCACAAUGUUCACAUAAGUUGUUUUUUAAUCACCAUUUCUACAAAAGAUUAUUUAUUUUUUUAUUUUUUAUCUUGAUUUUUUAUUCUUUUAAGAAAAAUAGAAACUAAUAUUCACUUGUGAUUAAACUACACCAGAUGUAUGUAUGUUGAAACUAUGAACUUCACCCAGUGUAUGCUGAAACAUACAUUUAAAUAUAUUAGAUUUAAAGCCAAUUCAAAAUGUAUGGGUUCAUUUCAUUUAUUCAAUAUUUUUUGAUAUAAAACUAUAUGUAAUAUUCUACAUUGACUUAAUAUAUAUUUAAGUAGAAAUCAUGAAAUUUAAGAAAAAUUUCAAAAUGUGAUGAUGAAAAUGAUUAUAAAAAUAAUAGUAAUAAUAAUAAUAUGAUUAAUAUUAACAAAAAUACACAUGUAAUUAGCAAAAUUAAUACUUGGAUUUGACUAAAUUUGUUAAGAACUUUAUAUUUUAAAUCUUAUUGUAAACAUUGUAACUCUUAAACCUAAAGAUCAGAAUGGGUCACUUAUUAAAAUUAAAACUAACUUUUGGUUCUUGCACCUUAAAUGUAUGCAUUAAUAAUCAAAGUUACAUGUAUGAGCACUCUAGUAAUUAGUUUGUUUAGAAGAGUCUAAUUGGUGUAUCAACAUAUGUAUGCAUGUAAGUAUGUAUGUAUAUAUACAUAUUAUGGGUUAUUAUAACUUUAGCCAUGACUUUAAAUUAGUAAUAAUAAUUUAUUGCAUAUACAUAAAUUAUCAUAUUACAUCUAAUUGGAAUUGUAUGAUUGAAUGUAUAUAUAUAUAUAUAUAUAUAUAUAUACAUAUGUUCUUAAUUUUCUAAAAAAAUGUGCAAAUAUUUGGAUUUAUCAUUAAUUAUCAACAAAAUAUUGUGCAUAAAAGUGAGCACAUUCACUAAUACAAAACAAAAGAUUAUUUUUCUUGAGAAUACAUAAUUAUUCCAUAAAAAAAUAAAAAAUAAAAAUAAAAAAUACAAAGCAUAAAGCUACAAUUUCCUAUAACUAAGAUGCAUAAUAUAUGGCCUUUUAUAAAACCAACACCAAAACAACAAUAUUCAAGGAAUAUAUUCUAUGAAAAUAUAUAAAAUUUAGUAUUUAUGUAUAAUAAUGAUACUUUUUUCUAAUUGAUUGCAGGGUUUCAAAGUGUUAUUUUAUUUUGAUACAUCCUAUAUUCAAUAAAAAUAAAAAUAAACUAUUUAUUUGUAAACAAAACAUCCAACAUAAUUCUUGAUAGAUAAUUCAUAGGAAAUUGUAGCUAUGUAUAUAUAUAUAUAUAUAUAUAUUUAUUUAUUUAACAUAUUUUUCAAAAUUGCAAUUAGAUAAAAGUCAAAUUAAUUUGUAUUAUUUUAAUAAAAAAUCAUGACUUUAUUUAGUGUACAUUCAACCAUUAUCUAAAAGUCACAACAAUUUGCAAGGACCAUCUACUCCCACAAAGACACAUGUCACUACCACUUGAAUUCAAAAUAGUGUGUAUAUAUCUACAUCUAGACAAGUAGUGCUCUUCAUCGCCUUCUCCUUCUUCUUUCUUUUCGUCAUAUGAUUUUAUUCCAAGAGGAUUUCAUAUUACCCACAUGAGCCCCUAAAAGGAGGAUGCAAGCAAGCAAGUAAGCACGGACCCAGGGCCACAAAGCCACAAGAUGUGGGGCAAGCAAAGGGCAAGUGGGAAGGAAAGGAAGGGCACUACCACUACUACAACUAUUACCCCACUAGGGCUCUAUAGAGAGUAGUGCCAGUAGUAGCAGGUAAUGAAGGAGGGAGAAAAAUAAACAACACACUAAUAGGGCGCCACGGCACUUAUCCAUAAUUGGUACUCUCCUAAAAGCAUGGCUCGGAGGAGGAUAUUAAAGCACUCCUCCCCCACCCAGCCCCUACAUCUACGCUCCCCUCAUGUGCCCUUCCUUCUUCCUAUCUACCCAUAUAGUACAUCCUUCGUGGCCAUAUCUACUAGUGCAGCCCAUGGCCGGCUCUUACGGUUGCGCGCUGAAGGGCAAACAAGACGAAUGGGGAUGAUGGGAAUGGGGAUGGGGAUGGAAGGAGAAUAGGGCAGCGUUCCCCUCUGCCCCUCUCUCUCUCGCUCUCUCUCCCUCUCCCUCCCCUUGCCCUCGUCCGCCAUCGCCAUAGCCACAACUCACACCCUCUCCCUCUCCCCCCCUUCCCCUCCUCUUCCCCACCUCGCUACCUACGACGACUCUCACUCUGCUUGUUUACUCGUAUGCGUGCCUGUUUGCUGGCUUGCUUGCAGCGGCCAUGAUACGCCGGUGGACGUGACUAGAGUAGAAGAGAGGAGAGGAGAAGUUGAGAGCGAGAGAGAGAGAGAAGAAGAAGAAGAAGAAGCAGAAGAAGAAGAGGAGAAUAGGAGGAGAUUCGACGACGGAGGAGGGCGCGAUGCGAGUUGGAAGACGGGGAUAGUCAUUGGAGGAAGGGGCGGAGGUGUAUUGGAAGUGUGAGACGCUAGGGUUGCGGAGAUCCGGUAGCGGGUAGCGGGUGUGAUGUGAUGUAGAUCGGAGGUUUCGGCAUCGGUUGCGAAGUGGAAAGCAGGGUGUGGGAGAGUGCGUGUGAGAGAGAGAGCGAGAGGAGCAGACGAUAGCGAUAGAGCAGCGGAGGUGUGAGAGAGUUGAAGGGGGUGAUUGGCAUGGGUAGUUGUUUGUGAGCGUGUUGGUUGUUGGUGGAAGUUGAAGGGGUUGUCGAGGACGGAGAGAGAGAGAGAGAGAGAGAGAGAGAGAGAGAGGUGUUGUUUAGGGGAGGCAUGCGGGAGCAGGAUUGGUGUUAAGUUCGUAAGGAGAAGGGAGUACAUGCAAGUGCGUGCUUGUCGGAUAUCGGACAGCUGGAUUUGUAAAUAAGCGGAGAGGAGGGUCGGUAAUCAGGGGCGUACAUCGAUGGAGCCGCGUGUGGGAAACAAGUAUCGGCUGGGACGGAAAAUUGGGAGCGGUUCCUUUGGGGAGAUCUAUCUUGGUAAGUCUAGAUCGCCGCCUGGUAUGUUUGCUGACUGGCGCACGGUUUGUUGAUGGCCAUGAGAUCUUGUUAUCGUUGCCAGAUGGGUUUUGUGUAUUGCCCUAGGUGUCGAUGUGUGCAUGUGUCCACUUCCUGGACGCUGCUGCCAUUGGGAAAUGAUUUGGUAGAGUUUUAUCGAGGAGGUUUAAGCAGAUGGAAAUUAGGGGUGCCGGACAUGCAACCAGAUCUGAGCCUCUCCGUGUUUUAUGGAACUGCCAAUCUAUUUGUGCAGUGGAUUGUCUGCCGUCAGUAAAGUAUUGCAUUUGGCUUUGCUCAAUUAGAUUACAUGCCCUACAGCUCAUCUUAAAUUUGGCAUUCGGAAGACCCUAGGUGAGUGUUGAGACUUCAUCUUGAAUUCCAGAGUGAUUGACAUGAAUUUUUCAUCUCUACUUUAGGGACCAAUGUUCAGACCAAUGAGGAGGUCGGAAUAAAGCUGGUAUGUAAGCUCGGCCUGCCUGUGUUUUGCAUUAUUAAGCUGCGUGCUCAAUGCUCGAAGAAGUAAUUGUUUUGAAUGUUUGAAUUACCGAGGCAUGCGUUCAUGUAUCCAUAUCCUGGACCAAUCUAUUCAAAUUUGCUAAAGUGGAAAUAUUUGAGCUCGCGCAUUGAAUUUCGUUUGUGCUUCUAUUCGCACUCUUUGUGGUGCGGUGAACCGGCUGCCCCACGUGUAUGGAAUGAGGGAAUUGUCGGUUGGAAUCGUAUGUCAAGGGCGUGCCUGGACUGUUUGGAAGAGUUGUAAAUGGCAUUUUACUUUACUAUGUGACUUAUGGUCAAUUGUGUGGCCUAAUGGUUAUGGACACAAUUCUAGCGAAAUCAGCCCUUUCUUGGAUUCUAUUGCAUUCAACACAGUGUGGCGUUUUUUUAUUUCUAUCCAGGAAAGCAUCAAGACGAAGCAUCCACAAUUGCUGUACGAGUCCAAGCUCUACCGGAUACUACAAGGAGGAAGUAAGUAGCUUUGUAUUCACUAUCACGUGCAGAAUGUUGCUUCUACGUGUAGUAAAACCCCUGGAGAGCCCACGUGUUGUGGCUGGAAAACCCUUGCAAGCUACUCUGACACGUGAAUGCUUUAUAAGAAGUCUCAAUUAGGAUAGAAAGUGGGUUCUGCUACUCUGUAGCUUUCAUUGGGAGACCUACUUGAAUUUCUAGUAGCAGAUGUCUCGAUUUGUUUAAAUGCUGCACUGGGAUGUUUAAUAUCAAGUUUUAGGUAGUGAUCGCUGUGGUCUUAUUUCCACAUUUUUUCGAGGACUAUUUCCUAUGCGAGACAAUGCGAGUUCAGUCUGAUGCUUAUGAGAUUAUGCCUUCGCAAUUUCGGAAUUCCUCAGCUCUUGAUUAUCAAUCCUUUGAUUACUUGAUGGCGUGCACUACUUCCUACAGCCACAACAUGCCUUUCAUAAUUAAAUCCCAUGUAGAAAAUAAUUCAAGUUUUAAUAGAGAUUAGCCUUGCUUCUCUAGAAGUAAUUUAUGGUCCGCCGAGACGGCACUUCUGGAGGCAAUAUUCAAUCUUCUCCUUCAUCAUGAAAUUCCAUUAAAUUGUGCUCGUACAUUUUAUACUCACUGUAUUUGUCUAUCAUUCAAUGUUCAUGCGCUAGUAUUCGGAGACUCUUUUUUGGGUUAACCUUUCGACUUUGUUCUGUUUUAGCUGGGAUUCCCAAUAUCAGAUGGUUCGGGAUAGAAGGAGACUACAAUGUCUUGGUUCUGGAUCUGUUGGGGCCAAGUCUCGAAGACCUUUUCAACUUCUGCAGCCGGAAGUUCUCUUUAAAGACUGUUCUCAUGCUUGCUGACCAGCUGGUGUGUACAUGAUCUGGACUUCUCUAGUUUUACCUUCAGUUUUCUCAGUUCUAUUUUAUUUUUAUUUUUUUCAUUUUGUAUUUAUUUUUAUCGGUUUUAUAGGAAUUGAAGCAUGUUAUGGACAGCAAGUAAAUCCGUGUGUACUGUUCUGUUCAUGUAGAUCAACAGAGUGGAGUAUGUGCAUGCGAAAAGCUUUCUUCAUAGAGACAUCAAGCCUGAUAAUUUUCUAAUGGGGCUUGGUAGGCGAGCAAACCAGGUAUUUUAGAAAAUUCGGCUUUUGGACCCAUCGAUCGAUGUCAUCGUUGGCUUAAGCUUCUGUGCUUAUCUACCCACUGGGCAGACAUACUGAAGUUAAGAUUGUCUUAAGAUAGAUUGAAAACUUCGUAAAGCAUGAAGUGUUUAGGUUAUUUGAGUACUGGGUUAUUGUGAUCAGCGAUCGUGACGGACCAAAUGAGAUGUAUCCGUGUGUAAGAACACGCCAUUGGAAUGCAUUUAUAUCUCUUAAUAUGCGCAUCGAUAAUCCCUACAGGUCUACAUUAUUGAUUUUGGUCUUGCCAAGAAGUACCGCGACCCUUCCACGCAUCAGCAUAUUCCCUACAGGUUGAUCUUUGUUUGUUUGCGCAACGUCUACUUGUACCAUCUAAUUUUCUAGUGGAAUGCUAUUUUUGAUACAUGUUGCACCUGUUUGUAUCAAUAACCCUGAGCCUCUGUCAAAUAGGGAGAACAAAAAUCUGACAGGGACUGCUCGGUAUGCAAGCAUCAACACUCAUCUUGGUAUUGGUAAGUUACACUUAAUCUGUACUGCCUUUGAAUCACCCGUGUUUUCUCUCUUUUAUGAUCGCAUCAUUAAUGAUAUUUUAUUUGCACCAUUUGAACAGAGCAAAGCAGACGAGAUGAUUUGGAAUCUCUUGGAUAUGUGCUCAUGUACUUCCUGAGAGGCAGGUGAGUCCGAUGAUGAAACUUCAUCCUAUUUAAAAAGAUCAAUCCAUUUGAAAAAUAUGCCGCGAAUUUGUACAAUUUUCGUUCUAUAUAACCAAUUCAAUGUGCUUCUCCAAAUGAGGUUACAUUUUCAUGUUUUAAGUUACGAAUUCUUCUAAACCGUUGUAGCUUUGCGGCUAGAAUGCAUCAAUAUUAUCCAUAUUCAAAGUUGGUUUGGUUUAUGUGAUCUAGUCUUCCAUGGCAAGGACUGAAAGCGGGAACCAAGAAGCAGAAGUACGAGAAGAUCAGUGAGAAAAAAAUGUCCACGCCCAUUGAGGUACUAACUUAUCAUACUGUUUAUUCAAAGUGGAUCUAAAAUCAUUUCUUUCUUACGUAUUUAAGUACUCUGCAUCGGGGUGAGGUGGUUGUCUCACGCGUUAUGUCUGCAUAUUCCAUUUUGAAAUGUUACCUUACUUUCAUCUUGACAUACGUGUUCAGGUCCUUUGUAAAAAUUAUCCUUCAGAAUUCGCCUCGUACUUCCACUACUGCCGGUCCUUGCGUUUUGAUGACAAACCCGACUAUGCAUAUUUGAAAAGAAUCUUCCGUGACCUCUUUAUUCGUGAGGGUAUGAAAACUGUAACUUUUGUAGGUUUCACUCUUGCUUGGGCAUUGUAAUGUAUCAAGACUUGAUCCUAAGCGCAGACUUUACUAUGCUCUAUCAACGAACAGAUAGUUUGUGAAUGUUUGAUGAUUUUCAGUUUAUUACAGUGCCACUUCUGCUUGCCUAAACUGGAAAUAGUUUUACAGGUUUUCAAUUUGACUACGUUUUUGACUGGACAAUUCUGAAGUACCAGCAGUCACAAAUUUCCGGUGGCAGUUCAACUCGACUGGUAUGUGAAAUAUCACGUAGAGUUGUUUUGAUGAUUUCUGUCCGUUGAUUGCUCUCUGGUUUGUGAAUUGAAGUCUUUUCAUAGGUGUAGCCGUGAGUUUAAAUAUCGUAAUGUGACAAUUGUAGGUGCUAGUUUUUGGAUGACCCCUCCCACUUGGUUUGAAUUCUUUCCUUGUCCAAGUUUGAAUGUGUUCCUCACGUGAAUGGUCGAUAUUGAAUAUAUUAACGUUUUUCUCGCUAGCAGGGUGCUUCUGCAGGGCAAACCAGUGGUGCACUUGGAACUGGGGCUACAGGAAGCCGAGACCUGCAGCGGCCCACCGAACCAAUGGAUCCUUCUCGGCGCAGGCUUCCUGGAGGAGCAAAUGGCUCCGGGGUCGCAAAUGCUUUGGACUCAUCUAAGCACAAAAGUCCUGGACUUGAUGAAUCUGCUAAGGAUUCUGUAAUUUUCGGAAGCUCUUAAUCCCAUACUCUUAAUUGUGGUUUGAUAGUUUUCGAGGUCUAAAGAAACUUUAGUCUUGAACCUUCCUAAAUCAAUUUUAGAAAUGUCAAUGCACUCAACAAAGAUUGUGACCAUACUUCGACAUUCAAAAAAUUUCUUUUAUCUUAGCCAACUUUCUAAGAAUAUCACGCUUACGAGCAAGAUUACUUCGCGGUGGUUAAAUCAGACGCACGUACAGAAACUUCGUAGCAUUUAUUCUAUUUUACAAUUUCUCAUUAUCAAAUGUAAAACAAAACUGGAGUUUUUUUUACCUGACUCGAACUAAACUAACAUAGUUGAGCUAUGGAACGUAUGGAAUUAUGCAGGCUCUUGCUGUUGUGUCAGAACCAGAGCGCAUGCAUACAUCUUCGUAUGCAACUCGGGGGGGUUCUUCCUCCAGGCGAGCUGUCCUAUCUAGCAGCAGGCCCUCAGGGGCAUCAGCAGAAGUCGUAGAUUCCUCUCGAACAGGGAGCAGUAAGCUUGGUCCCACCAGCUUACGGUCGUCAGCAGGGAUGCAGAGGAGCUCUCCAGUUACUUCGGACCCAAAGCGGAUAUCUAGCCGCCAUCCACAACCGCCAUCUGCCAACUUGAGGAUUUACGAAGCCGCUAUCAAGGGAGUUGAAUCACUUUCUGUUGAGGUGGAUCAAAGCCGUUAUAAGUAGGCCCAGGCUUGUGGUUAUAUAGCCGGGCUCUGUCUUCUAUCAAACCCUCUUGUUAUGUAGAUGAGAGUUGCUCUACAUUUGGCAACAGCCUGAUUGAGGGGAAAACGGUGGUUCUGUCCUACAAUGGUGCUAAGACUACAGGUCUCUCAUACUUAGGAAUGAAUGGAUCUCUAUCUUGUUACCAUCAAACCAUUGUCAGUGCUUUGUGUGGUAGCUCUCUGCCAUACGAUUCCUAAGGAAAUAAUCAUUAGAUUGCAGCAGAAGCAACCAGCAUGCUUGCCGGCUUGUGAAGCUUUUUAUCACUAAACCAUAAUCCUUGCCAAGUAACGUACGAGGAUGAAGUCUAGGGAGUGAGAAUCUCUCCCUUGGUAGUAUGUUCACUGCUUGCAGCCAUUAGCUUGUUGCUAACCUGUACAUAUCAUAACUUGGAGUUAUGUAAUGCAAAUCUAUUGGAGUUUACUGGCUUACAUGUGAUGUGAUCUGAUGUGAUCUGAUUACUAUUUUAAAAAUGGUUCUUACUUUGUAUUUAUAACGAUACCAGCGGAUUAUGCUGGUUCACAAAUCUUCUUGUUAGGAGAGAGUUCAUGUAGUACAUGCAUUUUUUAAUAGUUUAAUUGUUGCAUGGGUUUGACGUACAAGAGUACUGUGUCCAAUUUGAGGACUGCAAUGCUGCAUUACACGCAAAUGCAUUGUUUUAUCGACUUGAAAGAGAGUGUGAUCUGAAGGAGCACGUGGGCUUACUUGGCUUACGUUUGGGUAGUCUGGCGGAUGUCCAUGGCUUCGUUGCAUAUGAUGGAAAUUCAGGAACAGAUACUAACUUCUCGUGGGUGAUAGAUGUGUAUUUUGACCCAAAGCAUGCAGUUUUUAUGAUUUGAAAUGGUUUCUGCAGUUGCACCUGCAAUGAAUAGAAAUGGGUUCUGUAUUUACUGAGGAAAUCAGGUGUAGUUGCAAAUGUACUAACUCGUGGCUGUAUGGGUGUUCAAUCCAGUAUCUGGUUAAAAUGUCUCGUCAUUCGGUGAACCUUGGUCUGCUGUUUGGGUACAGAACUGCUGAGGAUUAUGUGAUUCCACAUUACCAAGUUUCAACCGUCCCCCCUCACAUACCCUUACUAUGUCUGCAAGCUUCUCCCGUUUAGCUUUUGAGGGGUCAAUUUUCUUAAACCCAAUUUUUGUCGCAACUUUCAAAUAUUGUUUGUACGAGUUAUUUUUCACUGAUUAUUCUGCCAUUGAAGAUGAAUGUCAAAAAAUGAACAGGUCUUUUUUAUAGCAAAUUUUUUCAGCACUUGGAAGAUUUCAAACUUUUUUUCCUUGUGCACUCUAUUCUGUACGAAAUUUGGUUCUCAAUAGCUGAAGAAUUUUCAUUCAUCUUCAAGUUGAUGGAGUUCUAGGAGCUGAAACUGUCUACCCAUGUAACGUAUCGUGAUGAUAUACAAUUGAAAAAUGAAGCAGUAUGUAUGGAGAAGAUAGAAACAGAUUAAGACGGAACAACAUUUUUCUCUUCUCAACGAGCAUGACAUGGAUCACAUCAGCUCAUGGGUCUAAGCCAGAACGAAUUGUUUUACUGUGUCACGUGAUGUAUGAGAGUAGUAGCAAAUUAUCUUGUAAUUUCGCAUUUAGCAACAGAAGAGUAUUCAGACAUGCCAGUUAAAGCAAGAGUUAACGAGCGGAGACGAAAUGUUUUCUCUACUGUUGUGGAUAAGAUAUCUCCUGAAAUAAAAAUAUCUACCGUGGGUUGGUUGUAUCCAUUUCUUCCUUUCCCUGUUUACGUAGUGGUGGUGAUUAGAAAAGUAGUAUUUUCGAUAUCUCGGAGUGUGACGCAUUUCCUAAGAUUUCAAAUCAUAAAAUCUGGCUCAGCGCUCAGACCAACAUCCUCAUGGCCAGUGCAAAUGUUCAGUGGUAAACACACCAUCUCACUCAUUGCAGCCACAAUAGGUAGAUAGUUCCCGAUAGAUUAAAAAGCCCCGUCUUACAUUGCUAAAGAUCUAUGAUACAAUUCUCAAUCACAGCGACAUGUUCAUGUCAAUAGUCUAGUUCCCGGGAACGAAGUUGGUGGCGUAGGCCCAUGCGUUGUUGGCAACGGGGUCGGCCAAGUGGUCGUUCAAGUUCUCCAAUGGGCCCUUUCCGGUCACGAUAGCCUGAACGAAGAAUCCGAACAUCGAGAACAUGGCCAAUCGCCCGUUCUUGAUCUCCUUCACCUUCAACUCAGCGAAGGUGUCGGGGUCGUCAGCCAAACCCAAGGGGUCGAAUGAGCCUCCGGGGUAGAUGGGGUCAGUCACCUCACCCAAUGGUCCACCGGCAACACGGUAACCCUCAACAGCUCCCAUAAGGAUAACCUGGCAAGCCCAGAUGGCCAGGAUGCUCUGAGCGUGCACAAGGCUGGGGUUGCCCAAGUAAUCAAGACCACCCUCGCUGAAGAUUUGAGCUCCGGCCUUGAACCACACAGCUUCACCGAACUUCACACCGCUCUUCGCCAACAGCUCAGGGGUCACGCACCCCAAAGCUCCGAGCAUGGCCCAGCGGGCGUGAAUAACCUCAAGCUCCCUGUUGCGGGCAAAGGUCUCGGGGUCGGAGGAGAGUCCAGCGGUGUCCCAUCCGUAGUCACCAGCGAACUCACCGUUAAGGUAUGAGGGGGUCUCACCGGAAAAUGGGCCCAAAUACUUGGGUCUGUCAGCUCCAUACCUACAUUGUUCACAGCAAUGUUAACCUGGUUAGCGAUUAAUGUCACACCAUUACCGGACAUAUUAUAUUAAUGAGCCACCCAUUAUCAGAAACGCGGCAGGAACCAUGUGCAAAUGCUCGACAACAGCUAACUAAUCAACAACAACUGCACACUGAUCGCAGAUACAAAAGCAACCAGCGCGACUCAAUAACGCACC
rnacentral:lncRNA from 1 species